rnacentral:lncRNA from 1 species
AAGAAAGAAAACUUUUGAUGACUCCUUUAUAAAUAUAGGCAUUUGACAAUGAUAGUCAUAUUUUUAUAAAUAACAAUUACCAUAUUUGAAAUAAAAAGUUAACCAUAAUAUAAAAUAAUUUAAUAUAUUUGACUAAUCACAUCACAUGACAUGACAUGGAGUUAAAAACUAAUAUAUAUUGCUUAUUUCUCCAUCUACAAAGGGGCCUAUGAUUUUUACCUUCGGUAAUCUUACCGCAACCUCUAUCUCAGAACUCGAGUGUGAUUAGCAAGUGGUUUCUGUUUCAUUGAAUCAUUUGGCUUACUUAAGUCGUCAGAUCAUUUAUUUUGUCUUUCCAUGCCCUCUCGACUGUUUUUCUUGCCUUGAAAGCAUAAAAAGAUCAAACUUUUAACCAACUUGCAAAAAGAACAAAACCUCCCAUCAUUUUGUGUCAUUAUCUUAAACCAAAAUCAUAGUUUCUUGGGUACAUUUCAGGGACAACAGUCUCUUUAAAUUCCACAAAUAUUGCAUCUAUCAAUCCAAAGUGAAAAACUUCCACUCCAAAAAACUGUAGCUAUGGCUAACAAUUUCCUAUAUUUUUGCCUCUUCUGGAGCUUAGUUGUAUUAACUCAUUCAGCUCCUGAGGAGGCUCUGGUCACUCAACUCCCUGGCUUUUCUGGCACUUUUCCUUCAAAUCACUACUCUGGGUAUUCACUGAUUUCAACAUUUUCGUUAUUAAUUUCUAUCUUUUUCUUGUUUCCUAUAAUUUGGGCACCAUAAAAGUAUUGGUCAAACUCUUUUUUUUUUUUGUUCUUGAAGGUAUGUGAAUGUCGAUCAAAAUCAUGGCAAGAACAUGUUUUACUAUUUUGUGGAAUCUGAAAGGAAUCCGUCAGAGGAUCCGCUGGUUCUUUGGCUCAAUGGUGGACCUGGAUGUUCCAGCUUUGACGGCUUUGUUUACGAGCACGGUAUAUAGAUAUAUAGUAAUAUACUGUAGAGCGUAGACCAUAAGUCAAUGCAAAUACUUCAUCUGUUUCAUCAGAUAUUACAACAUUUCAGAUUUACCUUAGGGUUUACAAUAAUCUGCUUAUUUGGGUUUCUAGACUUUAAAAUUAUUUACUUGAACAAUGAGUGGUGGAAAGGUAAAAGUUCUGCAAUUUAUUUACUGGAGUAUUAGGGAUCCCCUAUAGUAACUCAGUUGUUCCUGUUUUGUCAAAUUUAUAAUAAUUGCUUUGAAUUAACAGGGCCUUUCAAUUUUGAAGCAGCAAAGGCAAAUGAGAGUUUGCCCCAACUACAUCUCAAUCCCUAUAGUUGGUCCAAGGUUGUAAUUUUUCACUUUUGUUUUAUAGGACAAAAGGGAGAUGUUUGAUUUGUUUAUGUUCGUUUCCCCAUUGUGGUAAAGAUAUCAUAUUCACAGUUUUCUUUUUCUUUUAGGUCUCUAACAUUAUAUAUUUAGAUUCUCCAGUCGGUGUUGGGUUUUCGUAUUCGAAGAACAAAAGUGAUUAUGAGACUGGUGAUGUACAGACUGCCAUUGACACCCAUGCAUUUUUGCUCAAGGUUAUACAUCAAAUUUAUUCAUUAUUAUUGCUCAAGUUCUUUAUUAACUAAGAUACUUAUGCUUUAAGUAUCUGUUGUGUAUCAGUGGUUUGAACUAUACUCUGAGUUCCUUCCAAACCCCUUUUUUAUUGCCGGAGAGUCAUAUGCUGGUGUAUAUGUGCCUACUCUAUCUUCUGAAGUCGUGAAAGGUACGUACAUAUAUAUAUUUAUAUACGUCCUCUUAGUUUAGACUUUAAUAAGUUGAAAGGAUAAAUCUAAAGUGCAGAUAUGAAUCGUUUACAGGAAUUGUUGCUCAGAAAAAGCCUAUUCCUAAUUUCAAGGUACAAAUUUUUCUGGAAACUAUUUUGAUUGAAGUUUAAGCUUUUAAGCACAUGCAUUCUAGCUGUAACUUGAAUACAUCAUGGACAGGGAUAUUUGGUGGGAAAUGGAGUUGCAGAUGAUGAAUUUGAUGGCAACGCUCUUGUUCCGUUUGCCCAUGGGAUGGGCCUGAUCUCAGAUGAACUAUAUGAGGUGUGUGGAGCAGUCUCUGAUUUCCAUAUAUCUUAUUCUAGUUCCAGUUUUUUUUUUCCUUCAUAACAUUAUAUUUUCCUUUCAAUGACCCCUCAUUGAAGGUGCCAGUACUAGGUGUAAUUACUUGGUCUGAAAAUUUGCUAAACUGAAAGUAUUUGAACUUCCUGUUCUACUUUUGACCUGAAUCUACAUUUCCAGAUAGUGGCUUUUCUUAGUUUCUGGCAUGUUAUCCUUUUUCCGGUCCAUGGCCCGAUAUGCUAUAUACUUUUUACCUCUUUAAACUAGUAGAUUUAAGUUUGGUACUAGUAGCCAAUGCUUGCUACAAAUGCAUGAUGUGAUUAAGCAACUGUAGGAACCUAAGUUUUUCAUUUUUUAGCAACUGUAGGAACCUAAGUUUUUCAUUUUUUUCUUUAAAGUUUCCAGAUUUGUUAUUGGAAGCUGAUAUAUUCUAACAUGUUAUAAGUGCUAGGUUGAAAAAAAGGCCAUGGUUCUUUUUCCCCAAAAACAUAGUUCUGAUAGUUCAAUCUUAUUACAUAUUUUCAGGAGGUUAACAGUGAGUGCAAGGGUAAUUUCUACAUUCCACUCAGUGAAACUUGUGAAAGCAAACUGGAAAAGGUUGAGAAGGUAAUUGCGCUUUAGUUGCUUAUUUACAUUGAUUAAAGGGAAAGUCCAGAUAGUCAGAACUUGCAUUCUCUUUGGUUUGCUUCUAAACUUUUGACUAAUUGCAGAACAUAAAGGAUUUAAACAUAUACGACAUCCUGGAACCUUGUUACCAUGCACCAGAAACGCUUGAGAAUACAGAUAUUAAGAUUAGACUACCUUCAAGCUUCCAGAAGCUCGGUGAGACCAACAGGCCUCUUGCUGUAAGGACAAGGAUGUUCGGUCGUGCCUGGCCGCUUAGAGCUCCUGUGAGAGAUGGAAUUGUUCCAACAUGGCCACAACUUCUUGAUGCCGAAAGUGUUCCAUGUACCGUAAGUUCUAACUUAUUGUAUGUGAUGAUUGCUUGUUUGUAUCUUGUUUCACAUCUAUUUUGUAGCUUUGCUCUUUUUCUGAGGUCAAUAACCAUCAGUUUAUAGUUUCGACUUUCAUCUGCUUUUUUCUGUCAAGUUCUUAGCUCAGCUAUUCCUUUCGUGCAUACAACUCGUGUAACUGAUUUGUUCUUAUUUAUUAUUCAUCUCAAACCAUCUUGUUGGAAUUAUAUUGAUAAAAUUACUUACUCAAAACUUUAUAUUAAUUGUGUAGGAUGAUACAGUAGCAACACAAUGGCUGAAUAAUCCAGCAGUUAGGAAGGCAAUUCAUGCUGAAGAGGUAAGCAUUCUCGAAGUCAUUACUCCAUUUUUUAAAAUAAUAUUAAUUUUAUGAUCCUUUGGCACCAUAGGAGACUGCAAUCGGCAAAUGGGAGUUAUGCACGGACAAGAUCUUGUAUGAUCACGAUGCUGGAAGCAUGAUCAUGUAUCACAAGAAUCUUACUUCUGGUGGGUAUCGAGCACUCAUAUACAGGUAAAUCUCCUUUUAAUGUUGUAUAAUAUUACAAUUUCUUUCAGAAUUUUUUUUCUCAUCAUGGACCCGAAAAGAAUUUAAGAAAGGACUUAAUCUUUUUCCUAAAUGAAAAAAAGAUUACCUAAAAGAAUGAUUCAUUGGUCUUGGUAUCUCGAGUUUGUAACUUGUUAUGGAUUUGAGCUAAUCGUCCUGGAUAUGCUAAGCCAGUGUUAAAUUUAUUUAUCUGAAGCUGCACUGAUCGAUUGAAUUUCAUGAUGUUUAAUAAUUAAAUCCGGGUUUGAAGUCAAAAUGAGUGCUCGACCAGGUAAUGUUUUCUGAUAAGUAUAUGUAUGUAACUUUUGUGGCAGUGGGGAUCAUGAUAUGUGUGUUCCAUUCACUGGGAGCCAAGCCUGGACGAGAUCCAUUGGAUACGAGAUAGUAGAUGAAUGGAGGCCAUGGAUGUCCAAUGGACAAGUUGCUGGGUAAUUUUCAGUCCUUUCUUUCACUUAACGUAUGGAAAAAGUAUUUUACAAACCGAUAACCAGAACCGAAUCUCAUGCUGAAUCUGUCACUGCCUAGAUUUCUUGUUUUCUUUUCCGAACUAAUGCUCAUAAUGCUUUACUUUACUUCAUAAUUGACUUUGUAUAUAUUUUGGAAUGCAUUUGCAGGUAUUUACAAGGUUAUGCGAACAACCUGACCUUUUUAACCAUAAAGGUAUUGACCGCAUUGCGGACUUUCUGAUAUCGAACAAUCUGUUUGUAAAUGGUCUAAAUUGUAUAAUUCAUUUUUUUUUUGUAUAAAUCCAGGGAGCAGGACAUACGGUUCCAGAAUACAAACCUCAAGAGGCAUUCGAUUUUUAUAGCAGAUUCCUUGCAGGGAAAGCUAUAUGAUACUUGUUUUAGUUCCUCCUAACAGUAUGUUGAUGAUGGCUUAUCCAAGGAAUUAAUUUAAGGGAAGAACAAAUUCCUGGAUUGCUUGUAUCUCUAUGAAUGAGUUAGUAAGAUUUUAAUGUUAAUUUCACUUUUAUUUAAAAUAAAUAAAUAAUUUGAAUGUUAUUUUCUUUGGUCAUAUGAUAUUAUUUUACGUAAUAUAUUUUCUUGCCACCGUCAAAACGUCAUCUGCUUCUGUAUAAGCAUCCUUCCCUGCCACGGGCAGACAAAAAAUUCUUUUAAGUUCUAAACAAUCCUUAUAUUAUAUCUCUUAUUGUAUUUUGAUAUUUUUUUUUAUCGGGGAUUAAAUUUAUUAUUAUGCUUUACACAUAAAACAUUAAAAUAAGUAUUUAAUACUAUAAUUUUAAUAGAUGAAUUAUUUUAUUCUAAUACGAAAUUAAUUUAUCUAUUUUUAAUAAAAAAUUAAAAUGUACAAUGUCUAUUAUAAUAUUUUUACCCUAGCAAGCCAUGUUGAUAAUUUGAGGGAAUAAUAAGACGAAAUUGAUAUAUCGUUUUUGCUCAUUUUCUUUUGAAAAGUUAAAUUAAAAAAAAAGUAAAGAUAUUAAUAUUUUUAGAAAAAUUAUUUGAUACAUCAGUGAUAGUUUUUAAAUUUCACAAAUAGAGUUGAGUAUAAUAAAAUAUUAAAUAAUUAAAUAAUUUAAAAAAAAAGACAUCUAGCAAUUUUCUAAAAUUACUUGUUGAAUAAAAAAAGUAUACUAUCGAUAUACUAAAUACUAACCCAUAUGUGUAAAAUUUGGCCCAUGAUCUUGACGUGUAGUUUCACUUCGAUACAUGUAUUAACGUACUAAAAAAUAUGUAUUAUAUUUUUUUAAUUAUCAAAGUAGACCAUAAAAAAAGUAUAAUAUUAAAAUAAACCUAGAUAUUAAAUUUAUAGGUUAAAAAUUAUAUUAACCUUUUAAUAAUAUUGCUUAAAAAUUAUUAAAUAUUUUUUCAAAUUUCAAUUAAGUUAGUUGAUUGAAAUUUAAUUCACAUCAUUGUAUUGUAACAAUUAAAACAACACGUGCUUAAAUGCGUUUUAUUCUGAUUUAGGCGUUGGAGAGGAGUUCAAUGGAAACACUCACUACUAGUGUCACGUGACUCUAGUAGCUAAGCUUUAACCCGUUCCGAUAUAUGGGCUGUGUUGCCGGUUACCCGAUCCAACGGAAAAUUUAUUUGACAACACCGAAGCUAAAACCACUUCAAAACCCCAGCGGAUCAAAGGAAAAGACUGAGAAUGGUGGCUUUAAUAAGGAGACGUUUUCUUGGCACCAAAAUAUCCCUAAACAGCCAUCGGCAUAAGCUCCAAUGGAGCGUAAAGCAGGUUACCAAAUCCAACUUCAGUGACUCACUCCAGGAGUUCAAGUCCCACCUCUCCGCUUCCGACUUCGUCGCGGUUUCGCUCCAGAACACCGGUUCUUUCUCCGCUCCUUGGAACCGAGUCUCCUCCUUCGACUCGCCGGAAACCGCUUACCUCAAGGUCCGUCGCGCCGCCGAACGCUUCCAGCUCCUCCAGUUCGCCAUCUGCCCCUUUACGAUAUCUGGCUCCAAAGUCACUGCCCACCCGUCAGUUCUCAACCUUUUAUUUAUAUAAUGAUUCAUUUUAUCUUUGAAAAAAAAAUAUUCAGUUUUAGGAUGUAAAUUUCUUUUAAAAUUUGAAAAACAUUCGGUUAAUUUGAAAUUUUUUCAGGAUUAUCAUUUGUAAGUUAAAGGUAAUUUGGAAAAUUAGAAUUUAAAAUUUUAGUUCUGGGGAAUUUCAGGAUUACAUUACGGGGUGAAAUUUUAGGUUGAAAGAAUUACCCAUUAUUUGUAAGAAUUAAGUUGCAGCUUUCUUUUUUUUUUUUUUAAAUUGUCAUUGCAGGUAUAAUUUCCAUUUGUUCCCAAGGGAUGAAUUAAACAUUGGGAUGCCUUCUUACAGUUUUUCAUGCCAAACUUCUUAUUUGACGGCUAUGGCUCGACAAGGUUUCGAUUUUAAUGCUUGCAUAUAUGAUGGUAAAAUCCUAUUCUCUUCACUUUUUUAACACUUCCAUUACUGAUAUGAUAUUUGUGAAACAUGAUGACAAGUGUCAAAACUUAGUGAAAAGCUUGUGCCUUUUGUGCAUUACUGCAUAAUUCAAGCGAAUUAGAAUCAGGAUAUAAAUUCUGUGGACUUUUGAGCUAAGCUGAAAGAGUUACUUUGUUCUUUUUAUAGGUAUAUCGUACUUAUCGAGAGCACAAGAGUUGGCAGCAAUAGUUCGAAUGGCCAAUCCAAUUAAUUUAAAUUAUGUUGUGGAAGCUUCUUCUUCCCCUCCGACUGUUGCUGAUACAGUAUUUGUAGAAAGGGUUAAAUCUCGUAUUAAGCAUUGGAAAAAGUCCUGUAUCGACUCCACAAGCAAAAAGAUAGAUGGUGAAAGAUUUUGCAUUAGAUGUUUGGUUAUUUAUUAUCUUUUCGUUGCUUCCUGUUGUUCAGUGUGUUAACUUUUUUGUUGGCAGAUGCUCUUGUAAAAUCACUGCAAAAACUUGUCUUAGGGGGUGAACAGUAUGGGUCUAGACCAUGCAUGACAAUAGCCGUAUGCAGUGAACGUCAAGUUCAACUUGUAUCAGAGGUAGACUCACCUGAUACUAGUUUCAAUCUGUAAUUAAGGGAGUGAUGCAAAAUUAAAUCUCAUGUAAUGAUGUUAUGGAAAGUGGGAAUUUUUGGGCUUUUCUUUUGUGAAUAUUGUCAUGAAAUUUGUUUAUUUGAUAUAGAUGUUGAGAGAGUUCUUUGAUGAUCUUGUUGCUUUAAAAAUCCCAACAAAGGGUGGAGGAACCCAGGCAGUUCGUGUUGUUUUAACAAGUUCAAAAGAAGACAAGAGUCUUCUUGAGGUAGCAAAUAAAUCUCGAUCCUUGAUCAGAAUGAGUGGUUUGGUUCUUUCUAAACUUUGUAAAUGGGAAUCUUGAUUAACAGAGGGAGCUUCAGAAUGCUGAAGAGGAACAAAACAAGAAAAUGAGGGGCUUUCGAGAGGUGAUUGAAUUGGUAUCUGCUUCACAGAAACCUGUUGUCUCCCACAAUACCCUUAAUGGUGUAUCUUUAUGGCAAAAGUUCCAGUACUUUUAGUCUAUAUAUUAUGUUUAUGUUUUUUAUUAAUGGUGACCUAAACAAUAACUUGUUCCUGCAGAUUUCUCUGUUAUUCAUUCAAAAUUCAUAGCUCCACUUCCUCUCGACGUGAAUGAGUUCCUUAACUCUUUACAAUCCAUUUUUCCCCUUAUAUUUGAUGUUAACCAUAUGAUGAAGGGAAUUGGUCCUCUAGAAAAUGUGACCAGCAUACCUGCAGCUGUAUCUCACCUCAAGAAUCGUUUCUUUGUGCCCAUUGAAAUGGAACUUUCCCAUGGAGGUUAGUAGGACUCUCUAGUUAUGCUAUGCAGCUGGUUUUCAUAAAUUUCUACUUUCAUUCUUGGCUAACUUGGUAAUGUACCAGAACUACCAAUCACUAGGUUAUUGCUCAUUCUUCACAUUUAUGUCCUUCGUACAUCAUGUUGUGUUUUCCAGCUUUGUUAGAUGAAAGCAAGAUUCAUGGGCAAACUGUUGUAAGAAUAUGUUAUUUAUUUGCAAAAUUGUGCUCUGUACUGAAGAUCACCCCUGGUUCUAUCCAGUCUAGUGAUGGAAAAGUCCUUGAUGGGUAUGCAAAUGCCUUCAGAUCAUGUUCUGGAAAUUCUGUAGAAUCACUUGACGGGGGUAUCAGAAUUUGGACAAAUAGCCCAAGAAAAGUAGAUUGCAAGGAUUUAGUUUUCUUGUGGGGAUUCAGGAACAGGCCGUCUGCUGGAAUGCUUAAGAGCCUGCUUCAAGGGUCCCAUGAUGUUUUCUCUGAAGAAUUUGAUGUCUGUUUAGUUGAUAAGAGCUGUGCCAUUGUGGUUUUCUUUCAUCCUAAUUUAUCUCAAGCUUUCCUGGAUGUAAUGAAUAGUGAAGAAAUCAGUGGAUCAUUAAAGGAAUUGGUCUCAGAAGGCUUAAGGGCAGCAGAUUAUGACACAUACAAGAGGGCCUGUAGUUUGGGUUUAUGGGAGACAGAUUUAGCAAGUUCCUUAGACAAAGCCUCUGCAACUCCUGAUCACUUAUCUCAAAGAGAUCCGGAAACAAAGCCAGCCGAGAUUUACUGGUGCAAUGACUUAAUUAUUAACUUGGACGACUUGUAAGGUACUGACAUUUUCUUUUCUCAGGGAUAUUAUCUGUAUUUGCAACAGCUGAGCAGUAGGCUUAGAGUUGGUAUUAGUGUUGGUACUAGUCUGAUACCAAUCUUUAAGCUGUGAUCAUUCAUUGCUCGGAAAAUCUUCUUAUAGACCAAUCACCUGGAUUGCAGCAGCAUAUAUCAAGUCGGAUUGACCAAUAUUUGGUUUCAUUUAGUAUUGUUUUCCUUGUACCUCUGCUAAUACUGUGCUAACCUUAUGCACAUUUGAUUUGAGUAAUCAUCAUUUGUCAUGUGUUGAAAACUUGUAAGAUUUUGGAAGGCUUUUAUAAGAAGGAUAUAUGUAAGAGAGGUCGGAAAAACUUCUUGACAGAAGUUCCCAAGUUCCGUGUUGGGAGGAAAGUGACUAUAUAUAUCAUUCAUCAAUAAUUAGUGGGAUAAUAGUUUCAAAUAUAUAUAUUUGGCUCUACUUCGCAUUUAACUUUUAAAUAAUUUCGUUUGGAUUUUAACGUGGUUAUUUUUGUUUAAUUAUCCAAAAUUUUACAAAAGUAAUUAACAAAGUUCACAUGUAAUGUAAUACCGUCGAAGAUAUUAGAUUGAAAUUAAAAAAAAAAAAAGAAAAAAACCUGACUGAAAAGGAAAAUUGAAUGGGCUUCAACCAAAACCAGCCCAAUUUGUACUCUCCUUUUUCCUAAUUGUAAUUGAAAAAUAGUGAGUGAAAAGGAGUUUAAACAUCAAAGCAGAACCAGCAAAAACAAUGUCUUCAGCUUCAAUUGCAGUUAACUCCCCAAGCUCCUCAAACCAUUUUAUCAAAGAUGGCGUCACUUCAGUCAAUGUAAAUCGAUUAUGUUCAUUCUCAUUCGAAUCAGGCUUGUUCGGAUCCAAAAUCCCAACGAAAAAGCUCUCACUCUCGGUCAACGGAACCAGACCAACUCGACCCGAACGCAUCAGUUAUUCGGGUUUAGAACCGGUGAAGGCCUCUUCCCGUUCUUUCGACGUCGUGAUUGUGGGCGCAGGAGUCAUCGGGUUGACAAUCGCCCGACAAUUUCUAACCCGAUCGGAUCUAUCCGUUGCGGUCGUCGAUAAGGCCGUACCUUGCUCCGGCGCCACUGGUGCUGGUAAACCCUCUUAUCUUCUCCUCCAAUCCUUUUCGUUAUUAUUUGCAUUUCCUAAACUCUGAUUGGGUGUAGGACAGGGCUACAUAUGGAUGGUACAUAAAAAUCCUGCAAGUGAGACAUGGGAACUUACCAAAAGAAGUCACCAACUGUGGAAGAUGUUGGCUGAGACGAUACGAGACCAAGGCAUGGACCCACUUCAAGUAUUGGGUUGGAAGAAGACAGGUACUAGUUUAAUGUUUACGUAGUUAAAAUGAUUGCAUGUCAUUUUCGCAGCUUGCUAUCCGGCUUCUUUUCGAAUCUUUGUUAAGUAUUUUAAAAGUUAAAAUUUUGAGUUAACUUUUUUCGGAAGUCAUGUAAUAUAUGGUGUUUUUGAGGUGUAGGAAGCUUGUUAGUGGGCAGAACUCCUGAGGAUUCAGUCAUGUUAAGAAAGAGAGUGAGUCAGCUGUCUGAAGCUUGUGUGAGAGCUGAGUAUUUGUCCACUGAUGAAUUGCAUUACAAGGAACCUGCCAUUUAUGUCGGGACUGAUGGUGGAGCUGCUUUUGCACCUGAUGAUUGCCAGUUGGAUGCUCAUCAAGCUGUUUCUUAUAUCGAAAAGGUAUCUUUAUAACCAUGUUCUUAAUUUUUUAUGGCAUUUGGCAUAAUUGUUGGUGUCUUAACUUCAUUUGUAACUAACGCAGACUCCAAUGAUCUAUAGGUUAACAGAUCUUUUGCACCGGAAGGCAGAUAUGCAGAGUUCUAUCAUGAGCAAGUUACAGGUUUAGUAAGGUCGGUUGUCAUUUUCCUGCAGUAAAUUAAUGAUGAUACAAAGAGACAAAAACAUAUUUGUAUAUCAUUACUCAGGUCUGUGUAACUCUUUUAACACCUGUAGUUCAGAUCUACUAGCAGUGGGGAGUUUGAAGCUGUUCAGACUUCCAAUAAUACCUUGUAUGGUAAGGCCAUUGUAGUUGCAGCUGGUUGUUGGAGUCGGUCAUUGAUGCAUGACCUAUUCAAAGGUUCACAUAUUCAAUUGGAUGCCCUUGUAAUGCCUCGUAAGGUGAGAAUGGCUCUUUUUUACCCCUUGUGGAUGCUUGUUAUAGAAUAAUAGGAUGGUAGAUCUUUCUGCUAUAUCAUGACGUUUCAAAAACACUGUAAUUUUUGAUAAAUAUUGGAAGCUAAAUUAGAUAUAUUUAUUAUUUAUGUUCCCCAUCAUGCUCUGUAAUAGUCUUGAUUGUUCAUCAGAGUGCUCUGUGAUAGUUGUAAGCUUGGUAAAUUAUAGAAAAAGUCGCUGAUGUAGUUGCUUGGGCUUUAUAAAUUUUGUGUUUUUUAUAUUUUCUGAAUUAAACUUAACCUGUUUCCAACGUGCAAUGCAUGAGCAUGCACAUAUAUAUAGACUAGAACACAGUUCUAUUUCAUAAUAUUGGAUGCAAAGUGUUGCCUACUAAAAUGCAGUUGAAGAGUGCCAUACAUAUCUUGGAAGGAAAAUUCCUGCAAAGUACUAGGAUGAUAUUUAUUAAUUUUGGUACUGUAAUUCUUUGGUGCUUCUUCCAUGCUUAUUUCUUUAAUUCUCUUUUAUCUCUACAUUGCCUUUGAUAUGCGCCUCAGGGUCACCUUCUUGUCUUUGAGAACUUUAAUCCCCUUCAACUGAAUCACGGUUCGAUGGAGGUUGGUUAUGUUGAUUAUCAAAAUGCAACUUUUCCUUUAGGGCUCGAUGAUCAGAGCCAAACCCUUUCUGUUUCAAUGACAGCCACAACCGACACGAUGGGUAAUCUUGUUCUAGGUAAAUUUUAACACUAUUACUUGCUAUUAUCAAUGCUUGGCUUUUAAAUAUACAUUUACAUAUGGUAAAAUGAUAAUUUUGGUGUUCCUGUGGUUUUGUUAUUCUGAUUCUCUUUAGCACUCAAGGAAGUGUAAGAGUGCAUGGAACUCCAAAAUGUUGUUUGUUUUCCCUGCUCUUAACAAUGUCCUUCAGUUCUAACUUCUAGAUCUUAUGGUUACAUAAUCUGAUAGAUGAUUACCCAGUAGCCUUUAUUUCUGCAAAACAAAAUGCAUAAACAUGCUUAAUUAUGUCUCUCUUUCGUUCCAGUUGUUCACUUGUUCUUUGUAUACAUGUCCUUUGGAUCAUGUUAAUUUGUUGUUUUACGUACUUAUUUUGUUGUAAAUUUAAUCCGUCCUAGGAAGCAGCCGUCAGUUUGCUGGGUUCAGCACCGAGGUAGAUGACUCUAUCGUCCUUCACAUAUGGAAACGGGCUGGAGAGUUCUUUCCCAAAUUAAAAGAGCCGUCUCUUACAGAUUUCAUCAAGAACCGAAAAGUGAGAGUAGGACUACGCCCUUACAGUAAGUCCACAUGCACUUCAUCUACUGUAUAUUUUCAUAUCAUUAGGAUAAACUGCUAUUUUGAAAUUUAGAUAUGCAGAACAGUUGAAUCAACAUAAAAUUCCUGAAACAAUGUCUUUAUUUAUAUGUCAGUGCCUGACGGGAAGCCAGUCAUAGGAAAUGUUCCUGGUUUGUUGAACUUGUUUCUUGCAACUGGACAUGAAGGAGGAGGUCUCUCUAUGGUAACUUUUCUGUCUUCUGUUCCAUAUUGUGGGAACUUUUAUAUUGUUCCAUUUCGGAAUAAACAAUAUGGGUCUUUCCUCGUUUGUUUGCAAUCUGGUGAUCAGUCGACCAUAUCUUUUACAAGGUUUUGUUCUUCAAUAACUCCAUAUCUUGUAAGUUGAAGACAUUUAUUCAUCAAGUUUGUUUAAUUUUCAGGCUUUGGGAACUGCAGAGAUGGUUGUUGAUAUGGUAUUGGGCAAUACCACUUAUGUUGAUAGUUCACCAUUUGCUGCUCAAGGUCGAUGUUGUUAGUUCAAAGUCUCUAUGAAACAGUAAGGAGAAAUAUUAUAGAGGACAGGUCUAGUUUUGGACCAAAUCAUAAGCUGCUGGUUGGACUUUGAACUUUCAUUUUCUGGUCUCAAAUGUAAUCUCUACUUUCAGAAGUAGCGAUUAGAAAAUAAAUUAAGCUUGUGAACUCUAUGGUUUCUAGGGAAAUAAAAGGUUUAUGAAAUUCGAGCUUACUUUAAUUGAUUUGUGAUAUUCAGAAAUUUGAAAUCUUUAUUUUCGAUUAAAAAAAUAAUUUAGAUUUUCUCAGAAAAGUCACUUGAAAGGUGAGUGUGGAGUUUACUGCCCAUAAUUAUAAAUAUUGGAAUUGAUGUUAAGAUUAGUGGUAGAACUAAGAUAUUAUAAGUAUGAAAAUUAAUAAUAAUUAGUAGAGUCGGAUUAUUAGUAUUAUAUAUGGAUAUUUAAAUGUAUUUAUUUGAAUCAUGGAUUUCAAAUUUUGUUCUUAUUUUUAUAAAUAUAUAUUUGAUAUUUAGUAAUUGUAUGUAUAUACAUUUUUAUUAAAAAUUUAAAUAUAAACAAUUUAACUUAAUAUUUAUAUUAUAAUAUAAAUUAUAUAAAAAACUUUUAACAUAAUUUUUUUAGGGUAACGAAGAAUUAACAUAUGAUGAUUUUUUUUAGUAUGAUCAUAAAUAUUUUUGUCCGUUCCGCCUUUAAGACUAGUUCUAUUCGGGUAAGUAGUAUUUAGGUAAAGUACUCUUAAUAAUAUUAACUUUUAAGAUUCGUAACAUAUUAUAAUUUUAAAAACGAAUCAUUUCAAACUAAAACAUCGAGCAUUAGAAUUUUAAUUUUAUUCAUAUUUUAAAUAUAAAUUUCAUUUUUAAACUAAUAAAUUUUUUUCUCAAAAAUUAAGCUUCAUAUUUUUGUUUACAGCUAAUCAAUAUCGGAUCUAACUUUCGAAUAUUAGCAAUAAAACCAUUUUUGUAUAUUAAUUUUCUUUUAUUUUGGCAGGGAAGGAAAACGUAAUGUUAGGUUGGCACCGCAGGCUUGCGAACCGUAGGGAACCCACUUUGCAAAAGUCAAGCUCCGAAUAACCGAACCAAAUCGCUGAAAAGAAAUACAACACUGAACGGCCCACCGAACUGAACCUCCUCUCCAAUCUUUCUCUAACUCUCCCCCCCCCCCCCAAAAAAAAAAACAAAAAAUAAAAAAAAAUAUGGCGAUUUCGACGCUCCAAAAACUCACCUCCCAAAUCCACCGUCUCCCAUCUCUCUCCUCCCAAAUCCUCACCCGAUCCUCCGCCACCUUAACCUCCUCCCCCUCCUCUUCCAAAAAAGUUGCUGAUCGGCUCGUCAAGCUCUUCGCCAUCGACCCUGAAGGCCAGAAGCGUGAGGUUGUGGGCCUAGCUGGCCAGACCUUACUUCGUGCCUUGACUAACAGCGGCCUGAUCGACCCCGACUCUCACCGCCUCGAGGAGAUCGACGCUUGCUCCGCCGAAUGCGAGGUCAACAUUGCACAGGAGUGGCUCGAGAAGCUUCCGCCACGUACCUAUGAUGAGGAGUAUGUGUUGGUGAGGAAUUCGAGGGGUCGCAUCUUGAACAAGCAUUCCAGGCUUGGAUGUCAGGUCGUGCUUACGCCUCAUCUCCAAGGUAUGGUCGUCGCCGUCCCCGAGGCUAAGCCGUGGGAUAUUCCAUAAAUAUUUGUAGGGGAAAAAGAGAUGAAUGUGGGAACAUUUAGUGCAUUUCUGUUGUUUUCCUGGAAGUAAUAAUAAUUUUGUUACUUUGAAUGAAACGAAUUUUAUUUAUGAUUUUUAUGCAUUGCUGCACCAUGUGAUUUGGGUGCUUGGAAUUUAAAUUCAAGAUAUUCUACAGUUUUUUAAUGCUAUUUUGCGAUUUCUUCAUUGUCAUGCUUUAUUAAAUUUCUAGAAAGUUAUAUUGCCUCUUUGGAGAGAAAUUACAGGGAACUGUGAUUGAAUUGACUGAGAUUUUCUUUUUCAAGUAUUGAAUAUUAUGUCAGUUGAUUGAUUUUCUAGAGCUGUAGCAAAGAAAGAAAAUCAGAUGUUUCUCUGGAAGGUUUCUGAUUUGUUAAUGUGAGGUAUCAAAAUUGUUUAUUGGAGGUAAAUUUGAUCUUUUCUUUUUCCUUCAUCACUCCUGUAGGGCUGUAUGCUUAAGUGGUGAUAUUUAAUUCCCUAGCAAACCUAGUUUAUGUAUAACUGAUUGUAGGUAACGUUAUUCUACAGAUUCUAAUGAUUUAUGAGCAAAGGGAGUGUUUUUGUGUUGUGACUUAACAGACCAGAUCAGUACAGCAUCAGACUUUUUUAGCUAUAGUACAAAGAUCACACGACUAUAAUUGCAUUUUCGUUCAACUUGGUUGAGUAUCGGAUUGCUUAGGAACAUAGGGAUGAGUGGAUGACAUACUCUGCAGAACAGUGUACUUGAUAUUCAAUUUCAAUUAAGCCGUCCAUUAUUAGUUUAAGCCACAUAAGUACAGGAAAGAGCUGAGUUAUAUUCCAAUGGGUUUAAAAUAAUAUAACUUGCAAACAAAAGAAGAUCCUACAUAAGUUGAUUUUCUUGAGAACUCCAAGUUAAAGGUCCCCGAUUUCAAUACACUUUAAUUCCAGUUCAGGCUUUAUACUUGUACUCCUAAUAUGAAUUUCUAUUCCCAGUAAAAGGGGGUUAUCUUUUAUGAGUUACAAUAGGUUAAAUUUCUGUAGUUCAUUUAGUGGAAGUCUUUCUUUCCCCCCCUAAAAUGUUAUAAUAACUUUGUCCCCAAAUCAGACUUGGGAUUUUGUGUAUACCUUUCUUCUGAACUAGACCUAACAAUGCCUUUCAUUUUGUGAUGUUAAAGUUAUAAUCUUCAAUGUUGUCUCAAUUUUAGUGUGUUAGCUUUGACUACUGGGUAUGGUUUAAUCUUAUACAUACUGGUUUGGAAUUAGGAUAUCUCUUAUUCAAUAACUGGCUUGAUGCAUUGUAUAGGCAGUAAAGAGUUUGAAAUGAUGGAGGAUAUACUUCAGAUGCUCAACAUACUUCGGUUUUAGAAAGCUUAGUUUACAAUAUUGAAAUUGCUGAAAUCCACUCACAGUACACAAGAGAACCUCAUCUUGUCAUCUCUUAUAUUCAGUAAUUAUAUUAGUCAUUUAGCGGGCAUUUGGUUCACAGAAUCUCAUGUUCUUGGGUUGCGGAAUGACAUUUUCUGUUUUCGAGCCAGUAAAUCUUUCCUUCUCAAUAGUGCCAAGAUUCCGAAAUAUAGAGGGUAACCUCAAUACAUCUUUCUUAGGUAAUGUAAUGACAUCUCAUGAGAAAAUUUUGGUGCUACUUUGGUUUUAGUAGUGUCAUUUUUUGCUGUUUCGUGAUGUAAAGCAGUGGAGCAUAAGAAUUGGCUGAAUUGAACCUUGAGUUGUUGACCUUGUUUUCACCCAAUUAUAAUAGUGUGGUAUGUUGAUGUGCCCACUGGAUGCGAUGAAUCUUGAUAUUGUUACAACUACGGGCGUAUUUCUUGAGAGCAGGCAGUGUGGAUUCUUGCGUUUAAAGUUGACGCUCGGUGUAGAUAGAAGUUUGACUCAUUUGCGUAAGCUUGUAAAAUAUGUGUUUGAUUCUCGUAUUCGAUUUCAUAUCUUGUUAUUGUGUUGGAGCUCAAAUUUCAGUACUAAUUAAAAUCAAAUUUGACUUAGUUAAUAGCUUGAAUGACAAUUUAGUCUAACUCAAAUUAAUUAUGAAUACGAGUGUUUAUAAAUAUUUAGAUUCAUUUGGUUUUUAAUUUUUUAAGAAAUUCAAACUAAAAUUUUGUUUUUAAUAUUAGUACCUAUUUUGUUAAUAUAUAAGAAAUACAAUUUUAAAAUUCUUUAUAUUUAAACAUUAUUAAGUAAAGCAUUUUUUGCCUUUAUAUAAUUUGAACUCUUGUUAAUUCAUUUAAAAUUUAAAACCUGUGUUUUUAACUCUCUUUCUUCAUUUUACAAAGGCUUUUAGGUGUUUUGAUAAAUUUAAAACUUAAUUAGUAAAUUUAAGCUAUAAAAUUCGUUUGAGAUAUUUAUUAAAAUUAAGUAUACCUUCGAUAAAUAAAAAUUUAAAGGUAAAAUAUUUAAAGGAUCAUGUUAAAAAAAUUUUAAAUUUUAAAAAUUUAAAAACUUCUACUUAAGUGAUAAGUAACUCUUUAUUUUCUCACAAAUUUUCAUUGAAAAAAUCUUAUCAUUGUUUUUUUAUCAUGGAUUAUUAAACAUUCUUAAAAAAUUAAAUCAUUAAAAAUAUUAGGUUUCGUUUGGUUUAGGAAACAAAAGUCUUUUUUGUCUUAUUUUUUUGAAAAUUGGAAAACAUUGAGAAAAAAUAUUUGGUUGAAAGUUUUUAAAAUAUAUUUACAAAUGAAAAUGAAAAUAUGUAAAUUAAGAAAUAAUAAAAUAAUUAUUUUCAUUAUUUUCACUAACAAAAACUUUAUAAAAGUGAAAAUAUUGAAAAUAAAAGGUUUUUAUUUUUUAUUUUCUUCGUGUCAAUUCUGUUUUUUUUUUUGGUAAAAUAAAGGGUUUUAAUUUUAAAUAAAUUAAAUCUGGUUUUAACUUAUAUAGACACAAAAAUAUUUUUUAAAACUUUUGAAAAUAGAAAAUAAAAAUUAUCAUCUGAAAACAAAAAUAAAAAUGAAAAUAAAAUAUAUUUUAAAAACCAAAGGAACUUACUUUUAUUCAAUGGAUUAUCAAAUUUUAGAGUUUCUAAUUUUUUUUUCAAUUAACCAUAUUAUUUUAAAGGAUUUUCAUUAUUAAAAAAAUCCAAAACAAAAGUAAUUUGAUUCGAAAUCAUAUUUGAUUUAAGUUUCUAGCUUGUACCUUGUACUGACUGUUUAGAGUUCUUCUUUAAAGAAAAAAUAUUAGAUUAAUUUAUUAAAUUUUUUAUGAUGGAAAAUAUUUCAAUUUUGAGUAACUAUACACCAUCACUUAAAUCAUAUUACAAAUAUACUGGGCCUUUGGGGCGCAAGCCUGAUUAGCUACAAAACCCUAACUUCUUUUUUCUAUAUAAAUAGUAUCCCAUUCUCACCUCUUCUUCUCCGCAGCUUGUGUUAUGUUAAUAGCAGAAUCAUUUUCUUUUUCCUUGGAUUUUCGUAUGUUUCUAAUUUUCUUCAUGCUUUUUGUGAGUAAAAAUUUGCAUGAUUUUAAAGCAAGUCAGCUUCUUGGUUGGGUUGCAGAUAGAAUCGACUCAGUCAAUCAAAUAAUGGAAAAAUACUUGCGAUAUGUAUACUCAGCCAGUAUCACUCACCUGAAUCUCAUCUUCUUUUUUUUCUGGUUUUUCAGGCCCUUAUCUUUCUGGCAUAUUCAUUUUCUUUUCCUUUUUUUUUUUUUAAAAAAUUCUUAAAAGAAAAGUGGAAAUCUUUGUAAACGCACUCUGCGAAAGGUGAAUUUGUUUUGAGGCAAUUUCUUCGUUUGCUAUAUAUCAUUCAUCUAUAUGAAAUCUGGUGUCUAUGUUUAUAUAUGAGUGAAGAAGGAGAAGAUGGCCAUGAUGAUUAUAGAAAUUUAAAUCUCGUUAAUCUGAUUCUAUAUAUGAGGAUGAAACUUUCCAUCCAUUCUUAAACAUUUUCUGAGCCUCUUCUCUCUCUUUGCAAAAACAAAUUUUUUUGUCAGAUCAGCAACAAAAAAAAUUGUAAAGCAAAAUUAAAGAGAACUUAAGUAAGCAAAAUGUUUUGGGAACUACCACAAAAGUAUUUCAAUAUUAUUAUUUGACGUCAAAGGUUAAAUAUCUUCUUGACUUUGAAAAAUUAUGUCAACUUAAGAGCUUGGUAAAUACAUCAAUUUGAUCCACUCUAUUUCAGUUGUUUUUUCAUUGUUAAGAUUUAGUAGAAAGUAAAAUUUUAUAUCAAUAUGCUUGCCUCAGUCUUUCAUGGUUGCAGAAAAUUGUACCAACAAUGAAUUCAAUUUUUGUGCUUUAUAAUGUAACAAUUGAUUGCUUCUUAGAAAAUGAAAUGCACUGUGUCAAGCAUAAAAGCAUAGCUUGAAGUUUUCAUUUUGUUUAUCUUAAUCUCUUGUAUAAUUAUUGUCGGUGAAGCCAAUCAUGUUUGACAUUUCACCUUUCUUGUAGAAAAUCUCAAAAUUCUUUGUAUUUUUGUAAGUAAUGAAGGAUUUUCUUGAUAACUAAUAAAUGCUUUUUGGUUGGGCUUUUCAUCUACUUGCUAAUAAGACUCAUAAAAUACAUAAUGUCCGUUCUUGCAGUAGUUAUAUACAUUAAACUGCCUACAAUUUGCUUGUAAAUUGUGCUACCUACUUUGUUAAAGUGUUGGUUGAUCUGAAAUUUAUCACCUUGAAUUUAUUCAAAAAAAAUUUCACAUAUUUUUUUUAGGAGAAAUUUCAUCAUAAUAUUGCAUUUAGGUCAAGAAAAUAGUGCAUCUUUCCAAGAUCAAACAUCUGAAACUAAUUCAUCAUAGAUCUUUUGAUAUCAUCGAACAUUACACAAUCAUUCCUAGUAAAAAUAAGAUGGGUAACAUUUAAUCACAUAAUUAACAUCUUUCCAUUAUCUUCAAUUUUAACAAAAAGUGUGUUCAUACGGACAUUUUUGAAACCCCAUUUUCAAAAAAUAACCUUUAAUGUGACCAUACUAAUAACGUGGAGCUUAUUUUAGUCCAGGAAGAGCUUUCUUUAAUAGAUAAAUUUUAUGCUCAUUUCUAACCUUAAUAUAAUCAGGGGUUGUUCAACAAAUACCAUUUCUUCUAAAUAUCUAUGUAAGAAUGUCGAUUUUACAUCAAACUUAAAGGUAGGCUAAGAGUUUGACGCUGCUAAAACAACCACUAAUUUGAUGGUGUCAUGUCUUGUAAUUAAGGCAAAAACUUGUGUAGUCCACACCAUAAUCUUGUUUGUACCUUUUAGCUUGUCAACCUUUCCAUUUUCCUUUAGUUUUGUCUUUUAGACCUAUUUGACUCCAAUGGUUUUGUGCCCUUUAAACGAUCAAUCAACUCCCAAGUAUUAUUUCUUUCAAUGGUUUGGAUUUCAGCAUCCAUUGCCUUUUUUCAUUUUGCCUCAUUGACAACAUUUUCAAAACUUGUUAAGUUACAAUAUGCAAAUAAUGCAAAAUGAGCAAUUGCAUCAUCAUUUUCUCCAAUUUCGACAACUUCAUAAUCUUGCAUUCAUAAGUGCUUCAGUUGCUAUACUAGAUUCUUCUCUAUGUGUAGCAAUACUUUAGUGGUUGGUGGAGAAGUAUUAUUAGGCAUUUCUUCAACUUCAUUAUCAUAAAGGAAUUGAGGAGGUUGCGCUUCAUCCUAAUUUCAUAUGUUUUCUUCAUUAAACACAACAUCUCGGCUAAUCACGACUUUCUUUGUCGCAAGAUUGAACAAUUUGUAUGCCUUUGAUAUUUUGCUAAUAUCAACAAAAACACACUUCUCACCUCUAUCAUCAAGCUUUUUUUUUUCUUUUGGGACAUAUGCAUAGGCAAUGCACCGUUGAUCUUCUUCCACUCCAAGCCUCCUCCGGAGUCACAUCUCGAAGAGCAUGAGUGAGACUCCUAUUCAAGAUGUGGAUGCUCCAAAUUACAACUUAUGGCCAAAACAUCUUUGGAAUUCUCCCUCUUGCUAGCAGGCUUUAAACCAUGUUGGAAAUAAUUCUAUUUUUUUCUCUCUGAUACACCAUUUUGUUGUGGUGUAUAAGCGAUUGUGAGUUCUCUUCGAAUGCCAUGAACGUCACAAAAAAAUUCAAACGCCUUCAGGUAAUAUUCACCACCAUGAUUAGUUUGGAGAACUUGAAUGGUUCUUCCAUUCCUAUUUUCUAUAUGAGCCUUGAAGCUUUUAAAUGCAUUAAGAGCUUCUAAUUUUUCUUAUAGAAGGUAAACAUAAGUUUUACGAGAAUAAUCUUCAAUAUAGGUAAUAAAAUAGCCUUUACUUCCAUUAGAAAUUGGAUUUAUUCCCCCACAAAUGUCUGAGUGCACCAACUUCAGUACAUAUUUUGCUCUCCAUGAUCUGCCAUUGAAAAAUUGAGAUCGAUGUUGUUUUCCAACAACACAUUCUUCACAAAUUAGGGAAAGAUAAAUAAUUGGAGGAAGACCAGUCACCAUUUUUUUUUCAAGUAUCUUCAAACCACCAAAGUUUAAAUGGCCAUAGCAAAAAUGUCAUAGCCAUGAAAAAUAUUUAACUUCUGUCAUCAACCAAGAUUGAACAACCUCAAUCUUCAAUGGAAACAACCUAUUCUGACUCAUUUUCACAAUGGUAACAAAUCUUUUAAAUGGAUCAAAGAUCUCGCAAGCACAUUUUCUGAGAGCGACAACAUACCACUUUUUAAAUAGUUGACCAACACUCAAAAAUUGUUUUUUUAAAGAAAGAGUAUAUAACACAUUAGACAUAGUUUCCACAAAACCAUUCUCAGUUCUAAUAUUGAUGUUAUAUUUUCUUAUGACAUCUACAGUAGAACAAUCACCAAAGCUGACUGUAGAAAAAAAAUCAUUAUUUAAAUACAAAAAAGAUUAUUUACUUCCACACAUGUGAUUACUGCAAUCUGUAUCUACAUACCAAACAUCUGGCUCAAGUUCUUUUUCAACUUGAACUACCAUCAAUAAUGUUUUUCAUUUUUCUCAACAAAAUGUGAUUGUUCAUCCUUAUCACUUGGUAGCCUAGCAUAACAUUCAAAAUAAUAAUGACCAAACUUUUGACAUCUGAAGCGUUUUAUCUUAGAUUUGUCAAAAUCUCGUACUUUUUCUUUACUUUGGUCUUCAUUGAUUUUUGUAAUUCUCGUUGUCAUUUAUGUUGCCACCAUCUUUACUACCUUGAUCUACUCUUCCUCUACCUCUACCUCUACCUCUACCUUUACCCCUUCCUCUAAAAUUGGAAGAAGAAAUAAAAGUAGAAGUCUUUAAAGCUUGUUCCUUGCAGGUUGAAUUACGAUUCAUUUUUUGCUCAUGCACCAAAAAAGAGCUUUGAAACUCAUCAAGAGACAAUUCAUUUAUAUCUUUUGACUCUUUGGCGUAAAUGACAUAGUUAAACUUUAGCGUCAUGGAGUGCAGAAUAUUCUCCUUUAUGGUGACAUCCUCUAUCUUCUCACCAUGAAACCACAUCCUGUUACAAAUCUCCAUGGUUCUAGCAUAAUAGUUAGUGACAGAUUCCCCUUCCAUCAUCUAUAGAGUCCCGAAAUCCUUCCUCAAGGCUUGAAGUUGUGCUUGCUUCACUCUAACAGAGUUUUGAUACUUUUUUCUUCAUAGAAUCUUAUAUAUCCUUGGCAGUUUUUUUUUUUGCAAAGAAUAGUUUCCAAGAAGGGGCGAUUAAUAGCUUGAAAGAGAUAAUUCUUUGCCUUCAAAUCUUUCAGCUUUCUCGCUUCAAACUCUGCUUUCUAAGCAUAUGUCAAAUUUUCUCCUUCCACAGGCUCUUCGGUACCUACCUCAACAAUUGACCAAUACUCUUUUGACCAUAGAAAAUUCUCCAUCAACAUACUCCAAUGGUCAUAGUGACCAUCAAAAUGAAUAAUGGUUGCUUGAACAAAACUACUUUCUGAGGCCAUAGGUGAAACCUUUUCUAAGCUAACAAGAACAAACUUGGCUCAAAUACCAUUGUUACACUUACAAGUAGAGAAAGAGAGAAAAACGGGCUUUUAAUUUAAAUGAGAGAAGAUUUUUAUUAGACUGAUGUAUAACUCCAAAUGGUUCUAGUCUUUUAUAGGCUUUGACAUAACUAAAAUUAGGAAACUAAAAGCUAAAAAUAACGAAAAUAAAUGCGAAAAUAAAGAAAUAAUUCAUUCAAAAGAUAAGAAAUAGAAUUGAAUUGGACAAAAGACAAGUUGAUUAACCGUGUACUAGGUUCGAGACAGUAAGAUGGUUGUUGAUUGGGGUUUGGGGGCUUAAAGUGAUUUCUAAAUUUGAAAAAUCAAGAUAAAAGGAUUAGAUUUAAGUGCAAUUAGCAUUUAUUAAUUUAUAAAGGAAUAAUAUUUUCAAAUUAACCUCAAAUCUAUUAAUAACAUGAAAGAAAAUUGCAACUCUUAAGUGUGGACAUCAUGAACAAUUGUAAUUUGAUUGGUUUUUGCAAUUAGAAAAAAAAUCAAUUUAAUGAAUUAAAAUUUUAAUUAAUAAAAAAAUUUAGUUCAGACUAUUUUGAGUUUAUCGAAUCAAGCGAUAACUUAACCCUUUGAAAUAUAUAGCGGUGAUAAUGUUAAAUUUUCAAAUUUUGAUUUAUUGUGUUAAUUUUUUUUUUCCAAAGUUUGAUUUAUGAGGUGUUAUAAUUUAAUUAAGGACAAAAGUGAUAUUUCAUAAAAUAAUACCUAUAUUUUACUUGUUAAAUACUAUAAUCAAACAAAGUAAAAUAUUUGUGAAAAAUGAUUUUAAAUUUAUCUAUGGUUAUUUAUUAACCUAAAUUAAUUUUUCUUAGUAUUAUAAGCAUUUUCUUAAAUUAUCGUGCGAGUAACCAAAUAAGAUAGUAAAAUUAUAAAGAUGACUUAUAUAAUGAUAUUUUAACUCUACUUGUAAAAUUAAAAUAUUUUAUGAACAUAUGAUAUAACAUUUACAUUCUUAUAAAUAUACUUUUUAUAUUUCUCCAUAAAUUUUAUUUAAAAUUAUCUUAUAAAAAUGCGAUAAAAAUAGCCAAAUAUACCAAAACACCAAACUGACUCCUAAUUACUCUCAAAUUUUAGAUCUAAAUUGAUAACCACUUAUUUUCAUUAAACCAUAUUUUAUACUUUUUUUUAGUGUGGAAUUAGGAUGCUUAAAAUCCCAUUUUUUCCCCUCCACUCCCACCUUAUUCUUUUUUUUUUCAUCUCAUUCACUUAAUCCCUUUGAAUUUUCCUUGUUAGUAAUUACCCUCUCUCAUUAUUUAAAAUUUUUUUCCCUUUGAGCUUGCAACAUUGUUUUCUUGUUAAAAUUUACUUUGUAUUUGUUUUUCAGAUGGAUCCUAUAGAACUUGGUCGAAUGUUUCAAAUGUUUGAUAGAAAUGGAGACGGUAAGAUCACAAAACAAGAGUUCAGCUAUUCGUUAGAAAAUCUAGGCAUCUUCAUUGCCGAUGAUGAUUUAAGCCAAAUGAUUGAAAAGAUCGACGUGAACGGAGACAAUUAUGUCAAUAUCAACGAAUUUGGAGCAUUGUAUCAAAUGAUAAUGGAUGAUAGAGAUGAGGAAGAGGACAUAAAAUAAGCGUUUAAAGUAUUUGACCAAAACGGAGACGGAUUCAUUACGAAUGAGGAGUUGAGAACGGUUUUGGCAUCAUUGGGGCUGAAGCAAGGAAGAACAAUAGAAGAUUGCAAGAGGAUAAUAAAGAAAGUGGACGUGGAUGGAGAUGGAAUGAUUAAUUUCAAGGAGUUCAUGUAAUACCCCUCUAACCCUAAACCGUCGCCGGAACAGGUUUACGAGGCAUUACCGGAAAAUCAGACAAUUUACAAUUAAUAUUCAAAUAAUUAUCAAACAUAUUAUAAUACAAUCAUAAAUUCAUAUAAAACUUUUGUUAAUUGACUCUUUUAAAAAAAAUCAAUAUAACCCCUCUAUAAAUAUUUAACCUUCCUUGCAAAUUUCAAAUUGUAACCAAACCAAUUCCAGUAUUCCAACCAAUGCAUUUAUAUACUCAAAUAUACUUAAAUCAUACUUGACAUAUUGACUUAACAACUUAAUUAAUGAAAACCCUAUUAUCAAUUCUAAUUAGCUUAUAAAACUAUUCAAACCAUUUUAAUUCAAUACCAAUGCCAUAAACAAUUUGGACCAUUUCACUAAUUUAAUUAUCAAAACACCAAAUACCUUUCUUUACAACAAAAUUUAUAUAACAUACCAAAAUAACCAUUAUAAUCCCUAUGCACAUGCCACUUUCACUUAAAAAGAAGAAACAUCACCAAAAUCUUGAUGCUGAUGUCGGGAUCAUUUGGGUGCUAGACCGGGACACUAGACUCCUAUUAACCUGCGCCCAGAAAUAACCGUACGCUGAGUAUUCCUUACUCAGUGGUAUUACCAUAAUUCAAAUUAUAAUAGCAAUAAAGAAUUAUAAUUCCCAAGCAUGUAACUAUCCAAUUUCUCAAAUAUCAAUUCAUUCUUCAACUUUCUUUAAUUAACAAUAACAAUACAAUUUUUAGCUAUUCUUCAAUUUCCAUCACAUAUCACAUGUAACAAUUUCAACCACUACAUGAACAUUAAGUUCAUGUCUUUCAUUUUCAAUCUCAAUUUCAAUCCAUAAUUCAACUUUCUCAUUUCUUUUAAUAUUUUCAAUAAUAUAAUCAAUCAAUUUAUUUUAAAUUUCUCAUUUUAGUUGUUCACCCUAUUAAUAAACCCAGACUUUGACAGAUACACGGAUUCCAACCCAAACACACCAGUACGGCACAUUGUGCCUAAAAAGGUACAUAGUACCUAAUCAGUAUACGACAUAUAAGUGCUUGAAACGACACACAAGGUACCUGAAAUACGACACAUAAAGUGCCUGAUUGGAAAAGCCGAUAAAUCCCGUACUCUUUCAAAUUCUAUGGCAUGCCAAUUAUAUCCGACUUAGCCCGACUAGUUAAUAGGGUAUUCCAAUUACUUUUCAAUUUCAUUCUCAAUUUAAUUACAACUCAAUUCAAUAUACUUUUCCAUUUCAAUCCACAUACAAUUCAAUUUCAAUACAUAUUCAUCAUUCAACUCAAUUUUCAUUCAAUUCAACAAUAACACUUACCUUAUAAUUUACUUACCAUAUACAUAAAUUAAUUUAACAUUUAAUGAAUAAAUAAAUAAUUUGAAUUAUAGUAAUACAAACCCAAAUCUCGCAGUUACUCCUCGACGACCAUCUCCUUCCCUUUUUGUGCCGAUACCUCGAAUUUUUUAUUAGCUACGAAAAUUAAAUAAUUAUACUAUUAAUUACAGCACAAAUUUUACAAUAAUAAUUGAAUUUCUAUUCAAUUUAUUCCUUAUUCUCAAUUUGAUCCUAACUAAGUUCACUUACUUUCCUAACUCAAUUUAUACUUUAUUUCUAUUCAAAUUUUGACCAAACUCAAAUUUAACUAUUAAAUUUUUAGCAUAAAUCCCUAAUUUCGAAUUUUUCUCAAUUUAGUCCCUACAACACAAAACUUAUAGUUUCUUUUACAAUUUAAUCCCUUUAUCAAUUCUAACUUGAAAUUCAUUCAAUUAAAUCCCUAAUUCAACAAUUUGUCCAACAUGAACCAUGCUUAAAAACCUAUAAACUUCCAAAACCUCAACUUAUUUUCAACAAAUCUUUAUUUUAAAGCUUCUAAAUCAUCAAAAUUAAAUAAAAAAGCUUAAUUGACUUACCAAUCAAAGCUUUAAACCUUAAACCUUUAGUUUUUCCUUUUUCUUUUCUUUCUUUCAUUUUUCUGCUCUAUUUCGAAUGCCUCUGUUUCUUUCUUCUUUGUUUUUCUUUUUAUUUCUUUUUGGUUUAUUUACUUUAUGUUAUAAUAAUAUAAUAUAUAAUAAUUAUUUAAUAACAAAUAUCUUUUAACUUAAAUUAUAAGUAAUUAUAUAUUUAUUUUACAUUUGUAAUAAUAAUUUUAUUACAAUUGUCAUUAUUUAAUUUGUUUAUCAAACAAAAAUUUAUAAUUUAAUUAUUUAAUUAAUAAAUAUUUAUUUUUCAAUUUAAAUAUAAAUAUUACAAAUGUAUAUAUUUUAUUCAUACACUUGUAAUAAAUCAUCUCCAUCCACUUGUCUUUCAUUUUAUUUCAUCAGAUCUUAUUUCAUCAUCCUAUAAAAAUCUCAUAAUAUAAUUAAUAUAAAUUAUAAUUUAAUAAAUUAAUAAUAAUAAUACACUAUAAUAAAUAUCUAUUUAAUAACAAGUAUAAAUACUACAAUUGUACACAUAUAUUUUUGUACAUUUAUACAAUAUAUUCACCAUCCAUUUGACUAAUUCGUAAUUUAUUUAUCAUACAAUUAUCUUUAUUUUAUUUUUUUUCCUAUAAUAUAAUAUCUUAACUUUAAUUAAUAUAAUUUAUAAUGUUUUAAUUAAAAAAUAUUUUUAUAAUAUAAAUAAAAAAAAAUCUAAGAUUUUUCCAUGCAUUGCCGCCUCAUCUUAAGCCAUAGGCUUAUUUACCUAUUUAGUCCCUCUUAUUUUCUUUUACUUAAUAAUUAAACUUUACACCUUAUUCAAUUUAGUUCUUUUCACUAAUUACUCUAAAUUAAGCUAAAUUCACCUAAUUUAAACCUAAUUAAACACACCACUAAACUCAUAAAUAUUUAUAAUAAUUAUUUUUGAACUCCAUUUACUAAUACGGAGGCCCGAUAUUGUACUUUUCCAAUGCCCGUGAAUUUUGGGUCAUUACAGUUUAAGCAUAUGAUGAAAGGAGGUGAAUUUGUCGCAUUGAGUUUAAGUUGAUAUGUGGAGGGAAACAAAUUGUUCAAAUAUAUAAAUAUCUUCUAAACUAACCUUAAAUAAGGUUUAUGAUUAAUAUAGAAGAUAUUUGUGUAUUUGAACGAGGCUUAAACAUCUGUGAAAGAUCGUGUUUGAAAUUUAACCGCUGACUUCAGUUAAAGUUCAAUUGGAAGGUGGUAGUAAGGUUUAAUCUGUUAGUUGUAAUUUAAAUAUUAUGUUUUUUUUUUAUUUGUUAGUAAUUUUUUUCGAAUGUUGAAUUGGAUCUUGAGUCUCAAACUGAUCUUCAUCUUGAGGCAAUGAACUUAAACCUACUUUAAACAUUGGUGGGAGAAAAAGAAGUUCAUUACUUAAGGGGGCUACUUUUGCAACACCCCCUAACCAUAAACUGUCGCCAGAAUAAGGUUACGAGGCAUUACCGAACAUAUCAGACAAUUUACAAAUAAUUCUUAAAUAAAUAAAAAAUAUAUUAUAAUAUAAUCAUAAAUUCAUAUAAAACUUUUGCUAAUUGACUUCAUUUUUUUCUUUUAAAAAAAAACUCAAUAUAACCCAUUUAUAAGUAUUUAACCUGUCCUACAAUUUCAAAUCGCAACCAAUUCAAAACCAAUAUCACAAUCCAUACAAUUUCAUAUUCAAAUACAUCGAAAAAAUAACUUAAACAUCAACUUAGUAAUUUGCUAAAUAAACAUUCGCAUAUAUAAAAGAGAGAAAGAAGAAACAGAGAACAGACGAAAAAGAAAGAAAAGAAAGGGGAAAGAAAAGAAAAAGGGAGAAUUGGGAUUUGGAAGCUUCAAGUUUAAUUGGAAAGCUAAACUAAGUCCUUUUCUCUUAAAUUUGAUGUUUUAAAAGCUUUAAAACAAUGUUUUAUUGAAAUUAAGUUGAUAUUUUAAGAGUUCAUAGGUUUUCAAGUUUAGUUUAUGUUGAACAAAAAGAUGAAUUAGGGAUUUAAUUGAAUGAAUUUCAAGUUAGAAUUGAUAAAAUGAUUAAAUUGUGAAGUAAGCUAUAAGUUUUAUGUUGUAGGGACUAACUUGAGGAAAAUUCAAAAUUAGGAAAAUAUGCUGGAAAUUUAAUAGUUAAAUUUGAGUUUGGAUAAAAUUUGAAUAGAAAUAGAGAGUGAAUUGAAUUAGGAAAGUAAGUAAACUUAGUUAAGGUUAAAUUGGGAAUGAGGUAGGAAUUGAUUAGAAAUUUAAUUAUUUAUUAUAAUUAAUGUUGUAAUUAAUAGUAUAAUUAUUUUAAUUUCCAUAGCUAGCAAAGAACCCGAGGCUUUGGCACCAAAAGGAAAGGAAAAAGUUGUCGGGGAGUAAUCGAACAAAUCCGGGUUUGUAUUAUUAUAAUUCAAGUUAUUUUUAUUAAAUAUUAAAUUUUUAAUUAUAUGUAUGGUAAGUAAAUUAUGAGGUAAGUAUCAUUAUGGAAUUGAAAAGGAAAUUGAAUUGAUGAUGGAUAAGUAUUGAUAUUGAAUUGUAUAUUGAUGAAAAGUGAAAUUGAAUUGAUUCGUAAAUGAAUUGAAAGUGAUAUUGAAUUGAGAAACUGAAUCGAAUACCCUAUUAACGAGUCGGGUUGAGUCGAAUAUAGUUGGCAUGCCAUAGGAUUGGAAGAGUUCAGGGAUACUUCGACCUCGAGUCGAUGAAACUGUUGCUCCGGAUAGAUUCGAUGAGGUACUGGGUACCAACUUUACUUCGGCUAGGCCAAUGAGACAUUGGGUGUCAAAUAUUACUUCGAACUAUCCAAUGAGGCACUGGGUGUCAAUUUGGUGUGUUUGGUUGAAAUUGAUACUAAAAUGAUAUUUUGAUACUUGGUUUAAUGAAAUGGAAAUAGAAUUAUCAUAACAUAUGUGGUAACAAGUUGAAAUAUUUGACACCCAAACACACCAAAUUGGCACCUAGUGCCUCAUCGAAUAGUUCAAAGUAAUAUUUGACACCCAGUGUCUCAUCAGCCUAGCCGAAGUAAAGUUGACACCCAGUAUAAAGUUGAUAUCUAGUACCUCAUCGAAUCUAUCUGAAGUAACAGUAUGACACCCAGUGUCUCAUCGACUCAAGGUCGAAGUAUCCCUAAACUCUUCCAAUCCUAUGGCAUGCCAACUAUAUCCGACUCAACCCGACUAGUUAAUAAAGUAUUCGAUUCAUUUUCUCAAUUCAAUAUCACUUUCAAUUCAUUUACGAAUCAAUUCAAUUUCAUUUUUCAUCAAUAUACAAUUCAAUAUCAAUACUUAUCCAUCAUCAAUUCAAUUUCCUUUUCAAUUCCAUAAUAAUACUUGCUUCAUAAUUUACUUACUUUACCAUACAUAUAAUUAAAAUUUUAAUAUUUAAUAAAAAUAACUUAAAUUAUAGUAAUACAAACCCGGAUUUGUUCGAUUACUCAUUGACAACUUUUUCUUUUCCUUUCGGUGCCGAUGCCUUAGGUUCUUUGCUAGCUACGGAAAUUAAAAUAAUUAUACUAUUAAUUACAACAUUAAUUAUAAUAAAUAAUUAAAUUUCUAAUCAAUUUCUACCUUAUUCUCAAUUUAAUCCUAACUAAGUUUACUUACUUUCCUAAUUCAAUUCACUCUCUAUUUCUAUUCAAAUUUUAUCCAAACUCAAAUUUAACUAUUAAAUUUCCAGCUUAUUUUCCUAAUUUUGAAUUUUCCUCAAGUUAGUCCCUACAACAUAAAACUUAUAGCUUACUUCAUAAUUUAAUCCUUUUAUCAAUUCUAACUUGAAAUUCAUUUAAUUAAAUCCCUAAUUCAUCUUUUUGUUCAACAUAAACUAAACUUGAAAACCUAUGAACUUUUAAAAUAUCAACUUAAUUUCAAUAAAACCUUGUUUUAAAACUUUUAAAACAUCAAAUUUAAGAGAAAAUGACUUAGUUUAGCUUAACAAUUAAACUUGAAGCUUCCAAAUCCCAAUUCUCCCUUUUUCUUUUCUUUCCCCUUUCCUUUCUUUCUUUUUUUCUGUUUCUUCUUUCUCUCUUUUGUUUCCUUUUUAUUUUAUUAUAGUUUAUUUACUUUAUUUUAUUUGUUAGCUUAACAUAUAUUAUAUUUUUAUUCUAAAUAUCUAUUAAAUAUUCAAUCAUAUAUUCACAUUUGUACACCAUCAAUACCAUACAUUUGUCAUAUACUUAAUUUUCAAGUAAAUAAAUAAAUAUAAUACAAAUGUAUAUAUUCUUAUUGUUACAAUUGUCACUACUUAAUUUGUUUAUUAUACAAAAAUCUCACAAUUUAAUUAUUUAUCUCAUAAAUAUUUUUUUAAUAAUAAAUAUCUAUUUACUAAUUAAAUAAAAAUAUUACAAAUGUACAUACUUAAAUUAAUACACUUGUAUUUUAUCUUUACCAUACACUUGACAAAAUCAUAAUUUAUUAUCAACAAAAAAUCUUAUACUAAUUAUUUAAUUAUUAAAUAUCUUUUAAUUUGAUAAUAAUAGAUAAUAAAUAUCUUAUGCUUAAUUAAAAAGCAAAUUAAAUCUAUAAACUAUAAUUAUAUACAUAUUUUAAUUACACAUGUAUUAUUUUAUCACCAUCCAUUUGUCAAAAUCAUAACUUAUUUAUCAUAUAAAAAUCUUAUAAUAUAAUUAUUUUAAAUUAAUUUAAUACAAUUUAUAACUAAAAUAAUAUAUUUAUAAUUUAUAACUUGACAAAAAUCUUAGAUUUUUGUUUUAAUGUUUGCCGCCUCAUAUACCAAAUGUGGCUUAAUUACCCAUUUGAUCUUUUAUGAUUUCUUUUAAUCUAUAAUUCAACUUUUACACCUUAUUCUAUUUAGUCCUUUUUCCUAUUAUUCUUAAUUAGACUAAAUUCACCUAAUUAAAUCCUAAUUAAGCACUCAACUAAACUCAUAAUUACUUCUAAUAAUUAUUUAUGACUCGGUUUAUUAAGACGGAGGGCCUAUAACUCACUUUUGCGGUGCCUGUGAAUUUUGGGUCAUUACAACUUUAUACAAUGGAUGGAUGAGAUAAGGUACAUGUACUUACUAACAUCUCUAAAAAAUUGAGUCGAAUACGAGAAAUAACUUGCAUACGCAUCCUCAUUGGGGACUUGGGCUUGAAUGAUUAGUGACAUUUGUCAAAUUGUUAUCAAGACACACUCAGAUAGUACGUAGGUUAGAUAGGUUCGAUAUGCACUUGUUGAUGUCUCUAUUGACAAUUCAAUUGUAUGCAUUGUUGCCUAAACUGAGGAUGUUGUCCUUGUUGAAUAAGAAACAACAAACCAUAUAUCUUAAACCAAUCGUAAUAAUUCACUGAUGGUGCAAAAUUAUCACCCAUGAUCCAUGUGCCUUCAACAAUAAUGCUGAAGACUAACAUCCCAAAGGUUGAGCCACUCUCGAUGUGUAUUGAGCCAAUGUUACUCGUUCUCUCCAUACAAAUCAAUCUUACGUGGUUGUUUUUUGUUAUAGUGUGACAUCAAAUCUGUUGAGGCCAAUUUGAAAUUUUAUGCCCCCAUAGAUUUUGAGCCUCUUGGGGUAUAUGAAGGGAUGACAUAAACAGUCUCUGACACAUAUGGAUUUUAUUGUAGUUUAGGAUGGCCCAAGACAUUUAGAGAAGGCCAAGGAACCUUAAUAUGCUCUAUUAGUUUGACUUGUAUGGAAGGAAUGAGCAAUAUUGGCUCAGUAAUCCCCAAGAGCUACUCGACCAGUUGAACUGUAUUCUUCAAAAUAUUAUUGAGGGUGCAUGGAUCCUAAUAAUAAUUUUGCACCUUCAAUGGAUUAAUACAAUUGGUAUAUGAUCCAUGGACUACUGUAUCUUAUUUAACAAGGACAGUAUUCUCAAUUUAGGUAAUGACAUAUAUAAUCGAGUCGUUGACAAGGACAUCACCAAACGCAUGUUGAACUUACCAAACCUAAUACUUAACCCACAUACAUACCAUUCAAGUGCAACCUUAUAUCAAAUUGGCAAUAAAUUGAUCCUUCAGAUCUAGAUUUUUUCUUGGUGAUGACAAAUAUGCCAAAUGUUUCAAGUAUUUAGCUCGAUUUUACUCAAAUGCUAAUGAGCGUGGAGAGUUGGUACACACCUUAUCUCAUUCAUCCAUUAUAUCAUUAUUCACCAAUGGACCCCUUGUGUAUUUCUUAUUCUCUCACCUUCUUUAAAAUAACUAUAAGCUUUUUGACCCAAAAUGAAGAUUGAGGUGAGACUCAAAACCCAAUCUAACUUUCGUAGUAGUGGAAUCAAUUAUGUAACUGCAGAUAAUUGUGUCAUGGAACUCAUUUGCCCUUAUGCAACAAAUGAUUGUAUAUAUUUUUCUUAGAUUAAAUGUAUAUAAUAUGUUUUUAAUUAGAUUUUAUAUGAUCUAUUUAUUUAAUUCAAUUAACUUGAAUUUAUUCAACGUGUUAUAGCAAACAUUAGAAAGAAUUACCAAUAAAUUCAAAAAAAAAUUAUUAACAUAAUAUUAAAUUAUAUUACAUAACAUUAAAAAAAACAAAACAUAACACCAAACUAACCUUUUGUUUUAUUAAAAUAACGUUUAAAUUACAUCACAUUUUAUUUUUGAAACAACAAAUCUUCAAUUAAACCCUAAAACCUUUCAAUUAAACUUUAACCGAAACUAAUUUGUAAGAAUAAGCAAAGGUGCAAAUAGUAGAUGGUUAAAUUCAUGGUGAAGUAUGAUGCUUAUUUAAUUCUUAAAGGAUAAGACUGUACCAGCUUUGGUUUAAGUUAAAAUUGAAAGAUUAUAAGAUUUAAUCUAAAGGUUAGGGCUUAAGAGGCUUGGGGUGUGUUUUCAAUAUUAGGGGAAGGAGAAAUUAAGUUUUAGAGAUCAGAUCUGAAUAUUUAAUAAUGAUUAAAGAUGUUCAUGUGUUAGGUUGAGAUUAAGUUUAGAUCGAGUUUAAGCAUGAUAUUAGAUUAACAUACUUUAUAUUUAUCUAAAUUCGGCUUGAACUUAAAAUAUGAGCCUAAAACGAUGAUAAAACCUAAUCAUAUUUGUAAAUGAUUAAUUCAAGUGACUUUUAGACUUACCCAUAUUUUUGUUUAAUUUAUAAAAAAAUAUUUAUAUUAUUUUUAAUUUAAUAUUUAAUGAUUUAUAUACUUUCAUAAGCAUGUUAUAUAUUAAUUUCUACAUUAUAGUAUUAUAUAUUAUUAUUACAAAGAAGGAUCUUUUACAUUAUUUUGUAUUUUUUUGUAUGAUUAAUAUUUUAAUUAUCAAACACUUAUAUUUUAUAUUUUAUUCAUAUAAAUCAUUUAUGUCAAAUUUGAUAUAAAUUAGAAACUUCUAUCAUUCAAUAAAUAUUAAUAUAUAUAUAGCAUUUUAGAUUGAUAUGGUAAAGAUAAUAUAUUAGAUCGUUUCGAAAAUUUAUAUAUAUAACAAAUAUAAUUAUAUUGAUAAAUUUAAUUAUUAAAAUAUUAAUGAUAUAAAGAAAUAUUAAUUCACUUAUUAUAUAUAAUAUUUUAUAUUAUAAAUUUAAAAAUGAUUGAAUAUUUGAGCUAAAUCCCAACUUAUGUUUAGAUGAACUUAAUUUUUUCCCAAACUUAUUUUCGGGUUCUUUUACUCGAACCGUCUAAAAUUUCGAGUGGAAUUCCAAGGUUCGGCGCAACCCUUUACUAACCGUGCGUGCGGGCCGGUAUUAAACCGGUUCAGAGCUUAUAAUUAUAAAGCCGAAUGCAGGAUCUGAGAUGAGACCCGGACGGAGUGAAGAAGAGAGACAUAGAAAUGGCGGGUAGGGUUUUAUUUUCAGCUUCAGUGGGUCUCCGAAAAUCUCAUAGCCUCAUGAUUCUUUUCUCUAAUUCAAUCAUUUCCACCCCAAAUGCGUCCCUUCCCAAAGCCAGGUACCUCUCUUUGUAUUUGUUCUUUUAUGUCUUUUAGUGGAGUUGAAUCUGUUUUUGUUUUUCUUUGGCUAUGGAUUUAUUCUUUAAUAGUUUCUCAGCUGCCAUCAGUUUCCCAAUCCGGUAAUAGGGUUCUUUUCUUUGUUCCAAUGCCAUUCUGUUUGAAAAGAAAUGUGUUAAUUCACUGAAGCAAACCCACUUCUGUUUUUCUGUUCAUAUAAAAAAAGAGCUUGGCCGUCUUUGGCAAUUUGGGAUGAUUUUCAACAUGAAAUGGGUAAUCUUUGGGGCUCGUAUUUGAUGGGUUGCUUUCAUCUCCAUUGGAGUUACAGUUCAUGUUCACAAAACUUAAUGCAACAUUGAUCUUUUGAUUGUUGUAAAUAUAUGAUAUCUUAGAAGGUUUAGUGGGAAUUUGAUGUCCCUUAUAUUAUAAUCUUUAACAAAUUUAAUUGGAUUCAACUAAGAACCCUUUGGCUUUGGUUUCAUUGUAAAGCCUUAUUAGCUUUUACUCCUUUGCUUUCAUAGAAUGGAGAAUGGCUUCAUGAUGUCCAUUUUUCAAAUGAUCUUAUUGCCUUUAAUGUAUGGAUCCUGUUGUAUUUUUGUUAUAUGCUUUUUCCCCCUAGUUUUCAGAAGCCCAUUGUCUGUUUUCUGGGAAACAUACUGAUAAAACUUAUCAGAUAACCAGUUAGAUGGAAGCCUUCCAGGCUUUAGCCCUGCUGAAGAAUGUGUUUAAUAUAUCAUUUGCGCGUGUGUCCAUUUGUGUAUGUGCAUCUGAAAAUUUCACUAGAAAAGAAAGAAAUCCUGAAAAAAUUCGAAUGUACUAACUAUGCAGUAGUUUGGUUGAUGUUAUGUGCAAGGCUUUUGGUCCACAGCAAGCUUUUUCCCCAACCUAUGACAGAAAGAGGUUUCUGCUUGAGAGGCAUGUCUGGAUUCAUUCAGCUCCAUCUCUGAAUGCUUCUGAAAACGUUGUUGGGACAGUCAACCAUUCCGAGGGAGUUUCUAGCAUCAAGGAUGCUUAUAGUGGUAAUCUUAAGGCAAAGAGGAAGAAAUUAAAGGGUAAACGAGCUGUAGUAAGGUGGUUGAAAUUUUUCAGGUGGAAGAAGAAGAAAGAUUAUGAAAGAAUGACAGCUGAAGAAAAAAUUCUUUACAAACUUAGAAAGGUAUUCCCAGUUUUUCUUCUAAAAUGCUUGCAUAUUCAUUUGGUUGGUAAUUUCAAGCCACUACUCUCUCUCUCUCGUGAGAGAUCGAGCUUGAAGUUGGGUUUGCUUAGAUAGUCUUAUAUCAGCUAGUACCUAAAGGUUCUUCUGUUUUAAACUUUUUUCACGUGCAUUUUCUCCAAUUGUUCUUCAGGCUCGGAAGAAAGAAGAAAGACUUGCUACAGCAUUAAAUAAGAUUGAACCCACAGAAUCAUCGGAAACAACCCAUGAUCCAGAAAUAUUGACUCCAGAAGAGCACUUUUUCUUUUUGAAGAUGGGCCUCAAGUGCAAAAAUUAUGUGCCAGUAGGUAGACGGGGAAUUUACCAGGGUGUAAUUUUGAACAUGCACCUCCACUGGAAGAAACAUCAGACUUUGAAGGUGGUGGUUAAAACAUUCUCACCGGAGGAAGUCAAGGAGAUUGCUGCUGAGCUAGCAAGAUUGACAGGUGGGAUUGUGCUCGACAUUCAUGAAGAUAAUACAAUAAUUAUGUACAGAGGAAAGAAUUAUUCUCAGCCACCAACAGAGAUUAUGUCACCCCGGGUCACACUUUCUAGAAAGAAGGUUUUCUUCUCUCCUUAUCUUUGCUUCGUUCUGUUUUUCACCCUAGUAUUGAGAAUCUAAAGAAUCCUGGAUCACUAGCAUACAAUUUACAAACAGUUCCUUAAUAUGAGACUCUUCUAAUUUCUCCCGUAAAGAAAACAUGUGAUGGUUGUCACCCUAGUCACUUUGUACUAAUUUCCAUAUCUUGGAAAAGUGUUCUCUUGUUUGAGAUCAUUUUCGUAUCUCCGCUAUAUGGUUUAACCCCAGCAUUGUGAAUGUUCUCUUAAUACAAGAUCAAGCAUGUUACUAUUUAAGCUCCCAUUUGGUUGAUUGCCAGCAGAGAGGUUGUGAUGUCUUUGAUUUCCAUAUUUGAUUGUUUAAAUUUGCCUCUGUUCAUUCCUGCUGUACAGGCUCUGGAUAAAUCCAAAUAUAGGGAUGGCCUUAGAGCUGUUAGGAAGUACAUCCCAAAGCUUGAGCAGGAUCUCGAGUUGCUACGUGCUCAAGCUGCAAACAACUUCAAUCCUGUGGAACAUGUGCCGAACGCUGAUGAUCAGAAUGUGGGUUCUGGGAAGAGUUCAAGCACGCCACUGGAGGGUUCAAAUAAAUUGAAAGAAUUUUUGGAUGAGAGCAAGGAACUUACAGAAAAUGAAUCCAAAACAGAUUUGCUUUUGGCUUCUGAAUCUGAGGACCUGUCAGAUAUUUUUGAGACUGAGUCUGACGCAGAGACAGAGGAGAGGGAAGAACAACCACUUUUUCUGGAUGAAUUUGAGAAAUUUCCAGUAGAAAGUGAUGGAGAACCCGAAGAUUUUGAGGAGCACUUACGCCAAAUAACAAUGGGCUCUAAAGUGCCUGUGACAUCUGAGGAAGAUGUUAACUCUCCAAACUUUGAUGAGGUAGAUCGGAUAUUUUUACGUGCUGCUUCACUCCUAAAGAAAAAGAGGAGUUAGGAAGAUUCGUGAUUAGUGUAAUUCUCAAAAUAGAUGUUGCAUAUGUACAUUUACUCUUGCUUCCCCUGUUGAGGCUUGACUGCAUAGACAGCACUUAAUGCAUGGAAAAGUUGCAAUGCGACAUUUUUCGGUAGAAAGAGAUGUGCAUGUGCGACAUUUUUCUAGCAGGCAGAACGUGUAAAAGCAUGUCAAAUUUCUCAACCUCAAGUUUCUCGUUGCUAUUGUAUACCCGUCUCUUCAAAUUGCCAUGUAUUGAUAUUAUCUAGGUUCAGAGAAAGCAACUUAAUAUUUUCCUUCAUAAUUGUACAAACACUUGGUUCUGAUAUAAUUUCGUUCAGAAGGUUUAUGAAUUUACAAUUUGCUUGAAAGAAAGAAUCCAUUAUAGGAAGAAAACAUUAAGGACCAUUUACUUAGUCUCUUACUUGAGCAUGCCUACAGUUCUAUUCCUACUUGAUUAGGUACGAAACCUGAAAGAGUGAUGGCUCGCCAAUCUCGAUCCUUACUUUUCCAUCAACUCAUUUAUACCGAUGUAAUAUCAUGAACCAGUAAAAGCUAAUCUUAUAUGCACCUUGAUUUGCAAUUAUACGGCUGAUCAAAUUAUUCUGUGAUUAUGCUCCUUUGCAAAUCUGGUAACAGCCCCUUUAACCCCAUCCCUUGGAGCCAGUGAUAGGUGGGGGAGGAAGAACCUUGUGUUUUCUAUACAUUGAAUCUUUACAAAUUUGGUAACAAACCCUUUAAUCCCAUCCCUUGAACGUCAAUUGUGGUGGAUUCGCACUUUAAAACCAAUGCGUCUGCCAUGAACAACGUAAAAUUCCUUUGCGUCAUCUCUUGACUUGAACUUUCUAUGCCUAUAUACGAUUCCACAGCAUUGGCAAACAAAGGCAAACUCUCGCCAGACUCUUCUAUGAUCUUGCCAACUUCUCCCAAGCAUAUAUCAAUGUUGUCUGAAAGCUCGUGACCAGCCAGUUCCUGCUCAUCAAAAUUUACUGAAUCUAUCCCUUUGAUUAGAUUUUCUCUCCAUUAUGCUCUUUUUUCUACAAAAUAUUUUAUCUUAUGAGAAAGCUGCCGGCAAGCGAAACUGAAAUAACUUUAUUCUUCCUAUUUGUACAGAAAUUUUGAAUCUGACUGAAACUGAAAAGAAAAAUAAAAAGAUAAAUGAGAUAUAAGAAGAAAAAGAAGAAGAAUGAUGGAAAGUUUAGCGACUAUGAAUACAUUCAAACAAUAAGCAACUACAUAAGCGACAUCAUGAACCCUUUAAACCCUCACCGGAUAAUCACUAUAUACAAAAUAGUGUCGACUACCAAGGGUCUCUAAUCAUCUCAAGAACAAAGCAAUUAUGUGAAAAUUUAACUCCUUUCACUCAUAAUAAUAUUAAUUUUACUCAUUUUAAAUAUUUUAAUAACUAUUAACGAUUUGAGUUUUGAUCAAGUUUCGUGUUGUUCCUCCACCCCAUACUUGAAGGUGGCAUACUAACAAUAUGAACUUGACCAAAUCUUCCUCGAUUAGCUUUAGUCUAUCAUUUUUAUCUCAUUUUUAAAAUUUAAAUUUAUUUUAUUCUUUAAAUGAUUUUUGUUACCUUUUUGUUGUUAUUUGAAUAAAUGACAUCAUCUUAUUUAAUUUUUUAUUUGUAUAAAUUCAGUUUGUAAUUUUCUUUUUCAUCCUUUCCAAAACCUUAUAAAUAACUAAUGUUCAAAUCAACUCGCAAAGCCUAACUCAAUAUUGAGGUUCUACUACUUAAUUUAUUGUACGGAGAAAAAUGAUCUAAUUAGUCCUUUCCAAAAUGAAAUAUGUUAAGUAAGAGCUUUCUCAAGUCUAGCAAAAUACAAAACUUAGAAAAGUCAUUAAUUUGAACCACUUAAUGACACAGUUCACCAUCAUUCAGGCAUUUAAUCAAUCAAAUUUUUCAUCUUAGAUCGAGGUUUCCACACUUUAGGGCCCAAUUUAGUCACUUGAUUUGCUAGGCUUAGGAACAAGGUUAGAAGAACUUGUCAGGUUCACAUGGAGGAGGCAUCUGAAAGGUGCAAGAGACAGAUUAUUUGAUGCCCAAAAAAGACUCUAAAAGCCUCUAAGAGGCUCUCCACCGCCUUACUGUAGCUAAAUUACCUUAGCGUAGAUAUUUCAAACUAGAAUUGAUCUUGAUCGUCCGUUUAGAUAAAUAUUGGCUAUUGGGUGUAACGGGUAGCAACAAUAAAUAGGGAUCACCUCAACCCUUAAUUUACGCAGCAAGGAAAAACUUGAUAUUGAAACUACCAGUCUCUUACACUCGUAGAUUUCAAGCUUCUGCAAGGAUUGAAGGAUGAUUGGCAACCUUCCCAGCAAUAGAGGACAUUCUCUGAUUGAAAGAAAACGAAGGCUGGGGAAUUUCAAUACUUGCUCAUCAUCUUCACAUAGGUCCCACUCCUUCCAAUUCAGCAUAUUGCCAAAACGCAGAGACUCUAAUGAUGCCAUAUUGCUUAUUAUUUUUCAUGCAAGCUUACUAAGCAUAAAGCUUACUCCCUCCAUUCCAUUUCUUUUAGUGUUGUCAGGUCGGCUCGAGGUUGGAGAUCAUCGGAGGCAGCAUCACACUAUCAAGAUAUCACCUUCGAAAAGUUAACAUGUAUAAGUUAAGCGUACACAAGUGAGUGGCAUGUAUAAGGACUUGGUUUUUAUGUUAGAUGUUGUUAUGAUUAGCCCCCUCUUGUACAUAGUAGGGCACUGUAUCUUUGUUCUUCUUUUUCUAUUGCACAAAAUUUAAUUUGAUAAUAUUUCAACUCUCAUUUAGGCUGAAUUUAGCCACACCAAUUGUUAGUUGUUUAAACCUAACGAUGUAUCUAGCUAAACUAUAGUUUCCGACACAUGAAAUUAACUUAGCCUCAAUUGAUUCAUGUAAUUACUUUUUAAAGUUAACAUUUAAAAAAUUUUCAAAUUUUAAAACUUAAGCUCAUAAGUCGAAUAAUCGGUUAUAAUUCGAGUAUGCAAAAGUAUAUAAAUAAUCUUUAAAACUACUAAUUCUUAUACCAAAUAAAUUAAAAUUUACCUAUUGCCAUAAAAGGUUUUCAUUUUUAAUGUUUCCCUACCCUACAUCUAUAACACCCCUAACCCUUAUCCGUUGUCGGAAUAGGGUUUCAGAGUAUUACCGAAACAUUCAGAAUAAUUUUUCAAUUAAUUUACGUAAAUUACUAUUCGUUUACCGAUAUCAUACAUGUCGUCCUUUAUAUGGACCCUCGAGGCUUAAAACAAGUGUUGGAAUCAAAUCGGGACUAAAUCGGGGACUUAGGAAAUUUUUGCGAAAUUCCAAAAAUUUUCCUAGGUGCAGGGCUCACACGCCCAUGUGGUCAGGCCGUGUACUACACACGCCCGUGUCCCUAACCCGUGUAACUCUCUGACUUUUAAAGCAUGAAGAAAUUGAAGGGCGUGUGACUUGGCUGUGUGGCAAAUUUUUAUUUUCGAAAUUUAGGUGUAGUUUUCACACGGCCGUGUAACAUGCCCGUGUCCAAGGCCAUGUCACCCACAUGGCUGAGACACACGCCCGUGUCUCUGCCCAUGUGCCCAAGUCUGGGCAUUUUGUUUCUCAUUUUUAAGAUGCAAGGGACACACGACCGGACCACAUGCCCAUGGGACACACGGCUAAGACACACGCCCAUGUGGACAAAAUAAGGCCAUUUCCUUGCCUCAUUUGUCACCCAAAACCUACCAUUUUCCUACACUAAAACUCACAAACAUAUAUCCACCAAUCCAACAUCAUAUUCACAAGAAAAUUUGACAUCAAUCAUAGAGUAUUAUCUCAUGCAUCAAUAGAUAUAAACUUACUCAUGUCAUAAACUCGUAUGCUAACACAAUUUCAUCAAACCAACACAUAAUAAGCACUUAUGUGAUUAUCAAAACACCACUUUAAAAUAGCCAAACUUAGACCAUCAUUAGUCACUCCAAUGGUUAGGUUACAAAACAACCAUUACAAGCCUUCAUUGGCCAACUAAGCUUAUACAUGCCAUUAUACCAAAAUGAGAUUUCUAUUUAUACCAAAAUGAGAUAGUGGAUAGUGUGAUGACUGCUCCGACCGACUUCCAACCUUCGCGAGCUUUGAGCAUUAUAAAAUAGGGAAAAAUAAACGGAGUAAGCAUUUUAUGCUUAGUAAGCCCAUAUAACGGGAAAUAAACUUAUCGGUCUUAUUUAUUAACACAAGCACACAUAAAUACAUAUUCCAUCAAUUUUGGGUAAGUUACCUAAACACAUACACUUAUUCAAACAAGUUAGUCACAUAAUCUCAUAUGAAUAUGAAAUAAACAUAGAUGAGCUCAUCAGAUUACAAGCUUCCAUUAAUUUCACCUUUGUGCUCUUCAAGAGUCUUUUCCGUCGAACUAUUGAAAUUUUGAUGGAUGUUCGGGUAAUAUACACAUGUGCAAAAAUACCCAUUGGGUACAUAAUGAAAAGGCACACCCUUGAGUCGUACAUUUUAUCGUAGGAUUACCAGUCCAAGCUAAAUCCUAUCCGUAGCAUAUGCUCUAAAGAGCUUAAUAUGGAUUAACCGUCCGAGUUAAAUCCAAUUUAUAACCUAACUCAAGAGGGCUUACACUAGAAUUACCCGUCUAGGCUAAAUUCUAUUUGUAACAUAUGCGCUAUUAUUUUCAACCCAUCAAAAUUCAACAUUCGACCGGAACACGAUAGUUUGUCCAUAUUACACAACUUAAAACUAUUUCAUCAUGUAUAUAUAUCAUCUCACACAUAACAACACAAUCAUACAAUUCAAUUCAAGCAUAUUAACAUACAUUUUUAAGUUACACGAACUUACCUUGAAAAUGGUUCGUUUUUGAAUUUUAACUAAUCUGAAACCUUUUGUUUCCUCAAUCUAGUUCCGUAGUUGGUCUUUCUAGAUCUAUAUGGAUAAAUUUAACUAUUAAUCUAUCACAUUUCAUAUAAAUUUGCAUUCUAUUGUAUCCUAGGAAAAAUUACCAUUUUGCCCCUAUCCUUUUCAAAAAUUUUGAUUUCGUCCCUAGGCUCGGAAAAUAAAAUUCAUGAAAUUUAACCCUCUUUCCAAGCCUAGUUGAAAUCUAUAAACAACAUUUACAACACACAUUUUUCACAAAUUUCAGAAUUUUUCAUGGGUUUUUACCAUUUUUCAUUUUAGUCCCUAAAUCAAGUUUUCAUCAAAAAUUGUUUUGUAAAACUUGUUUAUCUAUGAAUAACUUUUUUAUUUUCUACCAUAAAUUUCUAAUUUUCAGCAUAUUCAUCCAUGACCCAAAUUUCAUACCUUGAUAACUUUUCAAAUUAAUCCCCUAAAUAGAGAGAUUAGACUAUCCCAGUUUCAAAAAUAUAAAAAUCAUUAAAAACGAGACUUGAUUUCAUACCUUUUCAAACUUGGUAAGUUGUCUUCCUCUCUCCUAAGGUUUCCAUAGAAAUUUUGGGGAAGAUGAUAUGAAAUUAGAUGAAUAUUUCUUUUUAUUUAAUUUCCAUCUUUUAAUUUUAGUGAUUUUUAAUUUAGUCCUUUGCCUUUUCUAAUUUUUCCAUGGAUAGUCAUUAAAAUAUCUACUAACUACUCUUCAAUGGUCUAAUUACCAUAUAAGGACCUUAAGUGUUGGAUUUCAUAUCUAUUUGAUAGAUAUAGCUACUAGAAUCUAACUUUUUCAUUUUAUGCAAUUUAGUCCUUCACCUAACUAACCACACAAUCGAUAAAAUUUUCGUAUCAAAUUUUUCAUAUGACCUUCCUAUCAUGAUGCCAAUCAUAAAAUAAAAUAAAAUUAUUUUUUUAUUUUUAACUUGAAUUUGUGGUCUCGAAACCACUAUUCCGACCUCACCAAAAUUAGGUUGUUACAACAUCUUUUUUAAAAAAUAAGUUGAGAGAUACCAAUAACUAUCUGAAAAUAAAUUAAGAGUAAAUCAUUAAAUUUAAUAAAAUAAAAUAUUAUUAUAAAACAAUCUUAAAUUAAUUCAUAAAUUAAUUAUUUUCAAUAACUGUAUAAAUUAAUUUCAAAAUUAUUUUUUUAAUUUGAUUUUAAACUUAGAUUCAAUUAAAUUAAUUAAAUACAUUUGAUUCCACUAACCGAGAUAGUAUUUACUUGUCUGUAAUCAUAUUAUAUUUGUGAUAUAAUAUUUUUAAAAAAAAUGGCAAUAUAAUAGAAUAACUAAAGUCGAAAGUUUUAUUUCUUAUUGUACAAUUUUACAUUUUUUUAUUUUAUUUAUUCUCAAUAAAUCAUUUAUUUUAAUCGCUACCUCCUUAUAGAAAUGAAUUAGAUAAAUUCAAUCACUUAUAUAGAUAGAUAUUAUAUUUAUUAUAUAGAUAGAUAUCAUAAAUAGAAAUUAAAUGAUAUUAAUAAUAAAAAGAUAUCGAAAAUUAUGCAUUUAUAUGUUUUUUUUUUCUUCUAAAAAUUGGAUUUGGUAGAGAGAAAAUAUUUUCCUCACAUGUUUUAUUUUUUUUUCCCUAAAAAUAGUAAAUGUUUUGAUGAAGCCAAAUAAAUUAUUUUGUCAUAUUUUAAUAAAUCAACUAAAUUUGUCUUUGAAACAAUUCAUUGCAUUGAUAUUUAUCAAAUCUAAUAUCAAAAACCUUAUUUUACUUUCUAGAAUUUAGAGUUGUCAUUCUAAAAGUUUUGAAAGGCGCUUAUUGGUGGUAUCUACAAUUAAUCAAAUCAAAUAAAUGAUUUUUUUUUAAUAUUUUGAUAAGCCAAUUGUGAUUGGCUUUAAAACAAUUUAUUGCAUUGAUAUGUGUCACAUCUAAUAUCAAAAAUCUCAUUUUACUAAGAUUUUCAAAUGACACCUAUUGGUGGUACAUAUAAGAUUCGAGACAAUUAUCAUAUUUGAUAUUUAUCAAAUCCAAUAUCAAAAACCUCACCUUCUAUAACUUAGAAUUCUCGUUACUGAGAGUUUUGAACGACUCCUGUUGAUUGUACCUGUAAGACUCAGGACAAGUAUUAGCAUAAGGUAUAUGAAUAAUUAUGAAGUUUGUUGAGUGUGGUGUGACUCGAACCACUAAACAAGACUUAUAGCCCACCGACCUACAAAUAUGGUAUCACAUAGGCUAAGUGGUACUAUGCUUGCAAGUAAAUUAUUUUUAAGCGUUGGUUGGUGGUUCGAAUCCCCUCACAUCUACUCUUCAUAAUAAUUAUCAGCCCCUUCCUCUCACUCUCAAGCAAAAGACUUGUCAAAGCCUCAAAUCCCAACAUUUACAGUGUUCAUGUAUUUUACAUUUUAAGGCAAACAAUAACAAUAUACAUAUUUUUGUUUUAGUCAUUUUUAUUUUAAUUACUAACGUUAUUGAAAUUUAAUACUCCUUCAUUAAAACAUUAACGAUGUUAGUUUUUUAUUGGCAUAAUAAUAAAUUUAGCUCUUCAAUGUUUACAGAUUCUCAAUUUAGUCUAAAUCUAAAAAAAUUAAUAAAUUUAGUCCUCAACUUUAUACAUUCUGUCAACUUAGUAUUGAUUCUUUAAAAAAAACAUUUUAAAAAAAUUAAAAAUUUAUUUUUCGAGAAUAAUACAUUAGAUUUAAUAAAAAUAAUUACAAAAAAUAUAUAAUUAUAAAUAAAUGAAUAUUUAUUUUUCUUAUUUUCUAACAUGAAAUUUAUUUAUUAGAUACUAAUUUUAUAAAUAAAAAAAUUUAAGUGGGGAACCAUGAAGAAGAUUUACGCUGAUUCAAUUUUUCUCUUUCCUAACAUUAACAGCCAUUAUGUUUAGGUUGGGUUAAAAAUUGCAACAUUAGGUCGAAAAGAGUGAUAAUCGAUGUCUUUAAGUUUUUGCCCAAAAUGAGUUUAUUACAUUUGAGGUUGUGCUUAAAGGCGGACAUGAUUGGGGACAUGAUCGAGGAGUCUAGAGUUAGGGUUAUUGAUGUAGGCGGUUGUGGACGAAGGUGGUGCCUAGUGCUUGAAAAAUUUGAUGAGGAAUGUAUAAUGAAAUUUAUUAUUUAUAAAAUAAAUUAAAAAAAAGGAAAAGUUUGCAUAUUAUUUAAGUUUUGUUUGUGGUUUUUUUAAAUAUAUAUUAUUUAUUAAAGCAUUAUUUUAAUAAAUAAUUUUCAUGUCAAAAAAAUGUAGUCAUUUAUUUAUAAUUUGUAUAUAUUUUUAUUAAAUCCUAUGUAUUUUAUCAAAAAAUAAAUAUUUUUAUUUUUAAAUAUUUUUGAAUUUUUAAAAAGUAAAACUGAAUUGACAAAAUGUAUAUAUUUGAGGACUAAAUUUGUUGAAUUCUCUAGAAUUGAGAAUAAAUUGAUAAAAUCCGUAAACAUUGAAGGGUUAAAUUUGUUAUUAUAUCAAUAAAAAAAGGUCAUCGCUAGUAAUUUGACGGAGGAAUGACCAAAGUAUUAAAUUUUGAUAAUGUUAAUAAUUAAAAUAAAAAUUUUUAAACAUGAGUGAUCAAAAUAGAAACACACUAAUAAUCGGUUGACUAUUUUUACAGUUUACCCUACAUUUUAUCCAUAGUUAUAGAUUUUCCUUUUUUUUUUUUAUAUUUACGAAUUAACCUUAAAAGGAAUGUUACAUUAUUAAAAAAGUUAAUAUAUUUUAGCAUAUCAAACAUAAUCACUCUCCCAUCAAUAUAAAAGUCUUAAAACAUUAUACUACCUUUUAAAAUUUUACGUUUAAAAUUUAACUUUUGUUUAGGAUAGGAUGAAAUAUUUAAAAAUUAAUGAUAAAAUAUAGAAUAUAUAUUUUUUAUAAUUUAAAAUCUAUAUUUAUCAAACAAUCUAAUUAUAUUUUAUAAUUAACUUUAAGUAAUAUAUCAAACAAAUUUUAUCACAUAAUUUUCAAUAUUUAAUCUUACCACACUUAUUUUUUCACCAUUUUACUUUUCAAUUUAUCAAACCUAAUAUUCCAUAGAAUAUAAAAAAAAAAAAAAAAAAAAACCAGCGCACCUAAUAUGUUCUUCUUCUAAGCCUUUAACGGUAUAAUUCUAAUUUCCUACUUUCUGGUCACAUCUAUCCAAAUUUUAGGUCAGUUGCACGACCAAACAAGUCACCAUAUAGAUAUAAACAAAGAUGAUGAACAAUAUAUACAAGCAAAGAUCAAAAUUUGUUAUUAAUCCCUGUAUGAGUUUUAAAUUUAAUUUUUAUAUUUUAAUUUGAUUAUUUUUUUAUUUUUUUAUUUUUAAAAUUUUAAAAUUUUAAUUCUAAUCAAACAAUUGUAGUUAAAUUCCUAUGUGGCAACCAUAUGAUCACAUAUGUAAUACCAUAUCACUUUGCUAUUUGCACAUAAGACUCUAAAAGACCACGCCAUUUUGAUUACUUAAUUUAAUGGCUACUAUUUGGGUCAAAGUUAAAAUUUGAAAAUUUGAAAAAUAUAAUGACUAAAAAUGAUCAAAUUGAAAAACAUGGACUAAAUCAUCAACUUACACAUAGUACAAGACUAGCAACAAAAUUUGACCUAACAUAUUUAACUUGUACCAUUUUGGUCGAAAUUGAAAUUUUAAAAUUUAACUAAUUCGAAAAAUACAUCAAUUAAAAUAGAAAAAUCACAAAAUAUAGGGACUAAUAGCGAAAUUUGACAAAAACAAGGUGCUAGAACAAGCAAAUCGUGAAAACCCAAGUUUUUGUUAAGAAAAGCAUUCUUGAGUGAAAAUAGAUGUACAUAGAUCAACAUAAGAAGCAUGUAUGACCCUUUCUUUUAUAUUCAUCACAAUGAUGUUGAUGUAUGACUUGAACACUACUGUAGCAACCCUCAAAAACCAUAUGAAAUUUGGGAUUAAAAUGUCCAUAUCCCGACCAUCACCACAAAAUAUUAUAUAUAGAAAUUGGAUGAAGUAAUAGCAAAGUUAGGAAGCCUCGUACAUUGCAAUUUGCAGCUACUCUUAAGUUGUCAAGGCAAGAUAAUCAUUUCUUACAAGAUAUAUAAAACACAAAAUCAUAAGUUACUAAGCAGCUAAGUUUAGGGUUCUUCAUCAACCAUGAAUUUCAACUUCUAUGGCUAUCUAUUCAUUCAAAUCCAAUAUGAGAGUGGUGAAAUUAGCCCAACCAUUGAGAAUUAACGGAAGUAAAACUAAUCAUUGGAUCCUUGAAUUCUCAAUUUAACUCAAUCAAAAAUAAAACGAAAACAAAAACAAGCAACCCACGAUUUUUUUUACAAUAUUUGUUUACCAAGGCUAAGUGAAGUUUACAGCCACCGAUUUGUUUUAAAUGAUUCAAUGCAAGAAAGCAUAAACAGCAGUGGAAAUGUAAACCAAGAGAGCAGAAGAAACCAGAAUGACUAAAGCCGCCGUGGCAUGAAUGGAGGACUGGCUGCCGCAAGACAACAACCCCAGCCGGAUCUCGAUCACGUUCACCAUCGAAAGCAUCAGAAACAAGCACCCCAUGACGGACCCGACGGCGGAGCCCAUCAUCCCAAACCUCAAUACUUUAAGGUUAAUGUGUGCCCUGAAAGCUUCAUCCACAUCUUUGCUGUUCAACAAAUUGAUGGCGAGCUUUAGACCCUGAGCCACCAGGGAGGAGAAAAGGAAGAAGCUGAAGGAGACGACCUCGAAGACCAAGAGCUUUUUAGCUACGUCAAUGCCGGCGUCGCAGGGGGCUCGGUUCUCGAGACUGUGUUGGCCCGGAGUGGCCAAAGAGAGGCCCACAAAGACAGCGAUGGUGAAGAGGGAAUUGACGUUGACGAGGCCAUCCAAGGCGGUAACGUGAACGCUCGUCGUUGAUGAAGAAGAUGAGGAUGUUGAAGUCAGUCUCCUGGGGUUGCCGUUGCUGGUGUAGUACUCCUUUGGGUACUCCCCAGAUCUGAGAAACAAAUGAAAAUUUCCAAUGUUAAAAAGGAAAAAACCCAAAGUGUCUUAAUCAAAAAAAGAAAAGAAAAGAAAGAAACUUUACUCGUCCAUUAUUGAAACUUGCAAGCUUUGAUGGUGUUUCUUGAAGGGCAAUGCUUCCAGGAACAGAAGAGGAAAGUUAAGAGUAGCUACUUUUUCUAUUAUUAUUUGAUUGGGGAUUUUAUAUAGGAUUUUUGCAGUAGGUAAGGGAAUUAGUUGAAAUAAAGUAAGAAACUUUGACAUGGGAAAAAACUGUGAGUUUGUUUCAACUUUUGAUUAAAACAAAACAUCAUCAAAUCAAAUCAUAGUCUUUGAGGAUAAAGUGGAAUGACAGUAAGGCCCCUGUUGCCAAUGCUUUUGCUGGGUCAAAUAAUGCUAUUCCUACCUUUAUUAUGCAUACUUUAAUUUAGUAAUUUUGAUGUUUGUAUUUUUUUAAAAUUUUGAAAAUUUAAUAUUAAAAAUAAAAUAAUUAAAUAAUUUUUUUAAAGUUUUAUAUAGAAAAUAAUAUGUAUAAUGUCAUAUUUGCUUGUUAUUUUUACAUAAUACUAAAAAAAAUAUUUGAAUCAGAUCGAAUCAACUAGAUCGAGAAUUGAUUGGUAUACCAGUUUGAAUAUAGGGAUUGAACUAACAUCUAAGCAAAUUGCUUGAAACCUGUAAAAAAAAAUCAACGGGUUGAACUAGUUUUACAAAUUUUUAAAUACCUUUAUUAUUUUUUGAAUUGUAUGUUUAUUUAUUGUUGGACCAAUAGUCAAACUGGAAAUCGAUGGUUUAACUAGUUUGACCACUAGUUCAAUUAUUGAAAUACUACAAAAAAGUCGCAUUAUUUUAGUUAAUAGAUUUAAUCGACACUGUUUAAGUUUAAACUGAAAUUUUAAAUUUUAAAAAGUAUAGAUACUAAUUAAAUUGAAAAAUAUAUACUAAACCCAUUACUUAAGAGUGGUACGAAAUUAAAAGCAGGAUUUAGCCUGUCAUAUUUAAUUGAUAAAGUUGAAUUAAAAUCAAAGUUUCAAAUUUUGAAAAUUAUAAAAAUUAAAAUUGAUUAAAUUAAAAUACAUGCAUUAAAUCCACAACUCGUAUAGAACUAACAGCUAAAUUUUAGCUUAUGGGGUCAAAUUCAUGUUUGUUAAGGCCUAAUUUUGGGUACUAAAAAAUGUUGUGGUAUAGGAAAUUGCAUAAAUUUCAUGGCUGCUUUAGGCAAAUUGGAGAGAUGCAGCAAUGCGUGAAGUCACAUUCCAACUGAUAAACCAAAGAGCUGGCCAUGAUUGUUGUUGAGUCAUGCAGAUAAGUUAUUUUAUAACUAGAAAAUCUAAAACUGUUGGCAACCUUUUUCAGGAAUAUGGCUGAUUAUUAUCAUUAGUAUCUUUUUUAUCAUUAUUAUUAUUAUUGAAAAAGAAAAAAAAAAGUUUCGAUCAGAUAAAGCUUUCAUCAAGGAAGAAAACUUUAUGAGGGUUAGAAAUAAAUUACAAUUAUUUAGAGGGGUCAAAAUAUAAUUUUCCUCAUUAUAAUUACUUACAACUUUAUAAUUUAUGGAAGGACUAAACUUAAAUUUCAUUAUUUUUUUAAUUAAAUUAUAAAAUUUUUGAAAGGUUACAAAUUUACAUAUUUUCAUCCUUUUGGUGCGGUCCAUCUGAUCAAAGGAUGUUUGUUUAAUUAUAAGUUCAAAAUUCCACAAAGAGGAAAGAUUACCCAAUAAGGAUGCAAAUGCAUGUCCAAGUCAAGUUAUUAUUUAUAAUCUUAUAUGUAUUAUGCGUUUUUGAGGGAAAAUAUCCACUGAGUGCUUGAAUUUGGAAAAUAGGACAUGAAAACUACAUCAAAUUGGCAACGUAAAAAGAUGGAAUACGCUUAUAGUUAGCUCACAGAAGGAUGUCUUGGUGACUUUAAAUAAGACUGAUGAACGAAUAUUUCAUAGUUUAGUUAUACACAAAAAAGAAACUUUGUAGAAGGGUUUUAUCAUUGCAUCCAUGGAUGAAAAUAAAAGUGAGUUGUGAGCUUCACAUGGUUUUAUGACUAAUCUGCUUCUGGGCCAGAAUUGUACCCUGACGAUGCUUCCCGCAAGACAUUCCUUCAAGCCUUUUGUCUUCUUUCUAGCUACUUCAUCUUUGUUACAAAAGCAAUCUAUGACUGAUUACUGACAGAUCAAGACCUCAACGAUGGAAAUUACCGAUUAGAUUAAUGAAUCCCACAUGCUUGGCAAAUGCAUUGUUGUAAAUCACGGCAACCUCCUCGGAUUAGAAUUCUAUCAAUAUAAGGUUUGAAAUUGCCAUAUACUUUAUGUUCCAUCAACCGUCUUCCAUCAUAGAAGUCAAGCGUUUCUCCGGUUUCCACCUUCACCUGAGCAACCAUCCUUUUCCAACAGAACUUUCUAUAACCUUUCUAUCUAACACCACAUAAGACAUGUUAUUUACAGAUUACUUGUAUAUGUCAUAAGCUUCCUCUGUUCAAAAGAGUUCCUACAGAGGAAUAACAAUGAAAAUGUUACAAGCAAUGCUGGCCGAACCGUAGCUUUACUCAAUCUUCAUGCUUGGAUCUUCAUUCUUAAUCACCAGUAAUCUCCACAAGAGCAAUUCCCAUUCUCAAAAUGGUGGAAUCUUUUGCGAUCCCUUACCACAAUUUUCCUUCCAGUAAUCUUAGCAAUGAGCUUGAUCAUUGAGUGACAAUCAUCACAAACCCUCAAGUUUUUUACAACCCUUAUUGUAGUACAUGGUUUAGUAGAAAUUAGACCAUAGCAUAUAGCAAGCCUCUCGCUGUGUAUUGCUAAAGACUGCUCUUUCUCCCAGUCUUCAAUAUCAUGCAAAACAGCAUCUGUUGCUGGAAUAUGUCCUGCUUCUUUUAAUACUUGGUUCAACUCCUCUAACUUGUUAUAUAUUUUUUCCUUUUGAGGGUGCCUUAGGUCUCCCAGAAGAAACUCGUGUAUCUCAUUGUUCACUUCAAUGGAGCUACAACCUGGUUCUUUUUGGAUUCCACCCUCCUUCAUCUUUGCCCUUAUUUGAGCUGCUUCUUUCCAUUUCCCUGAUGAAGCAUAGAUAUUUGCCAGCAGAACGUAAGUACCCGAAUCUACCACUCCAUGAUUCAUUAAAAUUCUCGCAACUUGUUCGCCUAAUUCAAAGUUUCCAUGAAUCUUACAAGCACUCAGCAAGGACCCCAACAUGACAUGAUCAGGUGCUAUUUCCAUAUUCUGAAUGAAAUUAUAAGCUUCUUUUAGAUGACCUACACGACCAAGAAGGUCAACAAUACAUCCAUAGUGCUCUAUCUGUGGUGGAAUCCCAUAAUCUCUACUCAUAGAAUGGAACAUCUCAAACCCCAAAUCCACCAAACCUCCAUGGCUACAGGCAUUCAAAAUAGCAACAAAAGUAACACUAGUUGGCAAAAGCCCCUGCUUAAUCAUUCCUCGAAAAAUCUCAAUUGCUUGAAUACUCUUCCCAUGCAUAGCAAGCCCUGAAAUCAUUAAAUUGUACGUAAUCACAUUUCUCUCUUUCAUCAUUGCAAAAAUACGUUCAGCCUCAUCGAUAUCACCACACCUCGAAUACAUACUGAUCAGUGCACCGCCAACAAAAUGAUUAAGCUCAAUCCUAUGGUGUUUUCCAAUGUACGAAUGAACCCAUCUUCCAAGCUCUAACGCUCCCAAUUGCGAGCACGCUGACAAAACACAAACAAUAGUAACUUCAUUAGGACUCAUAUUCUCCUUUUGCAUUUCCCUAAACAUCUCCAAAGCCAUGUUCAUCUCCCCAUUCCUCACCAACCCAUCAAUCAUCGCGGUCCAGCAAACAGUAUCCUUAACCCUUACCCGAUCAAAAACCUCAAUAGCCUGCUCUACCAAUCCAUGGUCAAGAAAACAAUUGAUCAUGAUCGUUGAGGCAACAACAUCUCUUUCCGUCAUUUUAUCAAACAAUUUCCUUGCAUCAUCAAAUUCCCCACACUUCCCAUAAAACUCCAUCAGCUUCAUGGUUAUCGAUCUAUUCGAGCUUAACCCAAGUUUCGAAGCUUGGCAAUGAACCUCUUUUCCUUCUCUCAAAGCAAAACGAGACCCGCAAGCUUUCAAAACCGAGGCGAUCACAUACUUAUCCGGCACAAUAAAUCGAUUAAUCAUUUGAAAAUAAAGGCUAAUCCCAUCAGAGUAGGAACCAGCCGAAACAAACCCAUCAAUGAGAGCAGUGUAGAGGAACACAUUUGGGUUAUGGACCAGUUGAAAGAUGGUGGAGGCAUAAUUAACGGAGGAUAAAGUGGAGCUAAGACGAAGAAGCUCGAAGAGGAUGAAAGGAUCUUGGUCAUGGCCCGUUCUAAUGAUUUUGGCAUGUAUUGGUAGGAUUUGGUUGGCGUCUUUGCAAUUCUUUAAGAGAGAAAUGAAUUCUUUUCUGCGUUGGGUCGAGUUGGAGAUGGAGACUUUUGGGUUCGGAUUUGAAGUUGAAGUCGACGGGUAAGUGAACUUCCCGACAACGGCUAACGUACAGUAACUCAUUGACUGCCGUUUUCUAACUUCAAAUGCUUAGAAGCAGAAGGGAUAUUUAUAGCAUAGCUUGCUCUAUCUUCUACCUAUUACUCAGCUCUCUAUUUGACCAAUAAACAUUUUUUUUUUCAUAUACAGCUAAUUUAAGUUUUACGGAGAGUCAAUUUAGUUCGUGUACUGUUACUUUAUUAAAAAAAAUUCAUGUGUAUUAUUUGCUUAAAUUUUUGCCUUCGCUUUUCAAAUAUAUGAUAAACUACCACGUUAACAUUGUUCCUGUUUUUGUCAAUAAAAAAAAUUAUUUAGUCACCACCUUUAAAAAUAUUGAUCAAACUAUUCACUCUUCUAUUAAAUAAUAAGGAAUGCUGACUGUACAUAUUAACGUAUUCUUUUCCAUUUCCACGUAAUUAAAUAACAAUAGCGAUCGAAUAAGAGAUAAUGGUUGCUUGAAUAAAAAACUUCACAGCGAAGAUGGCAAUGCAUAAACAUAGGUCUCAAGUCACCAUGGCCACUGGCCACGCAUCAACCAAAAUGGUUAAAAUGGAGUCCAUCAGUCACUUCUCAGAAGCUGUCAGAAUUGGCUAAAAUGAUAUUAUUAUAUUAGGGUCCACUACAAAAUGUAAAUCAGGCAGUUCUUUGCCCUUGGGCAAGAAAAGAAAACCCUGCCCUGCUCUUGUAAUGAUGCAUACUCUUUUUCGUACUGGUUUAACAAUCCAUGACAAAACUAACAUCAAGGUUUAGGAAAAGCUGUUUUUGGUACUAUAUAUGCUAUGACUGUAACAAAUUAGGGUUAGGGUUGAAAUCAGAUGGUUUCUUCCAAGUGGGAUUGGUUAGAAAUUGGUAGAUGAAAAAUCUAAAUAAACCAUAACUGCUCAAAACCCAUACACUUGUUCUCUAUUUGCAACUACGUAACUCGGGACUCUUAAUUUUUCUUCGAGCAUCCCUGUCCAAUACCUGUCACCAACACAAUUGAACACGAGUUUCAAAUAUGAUCAUCUAAAUAUAUAUACAUAUAUAUAUGCUUAAAAGAACUUUGAAAAUUAAGUAUAUCCAUAUCGGAUACAGACCGGUCACUCGCUAAGCCCUGGUACACAUUAACCGCUAUCAUUCCUACUCCAAAAAGGAUGACAAAGAGGUAAGUCCCAGCAAUAGGAAAUUAUCAAAUUCCACCCAGAAGAACUCCUAAACAAUUAGAAAAUGUAAAUAACACAAGUUUAACAUUAAACUUAAAUUCAUACUAAACUCAAGAUGUACAGUUAUUCCGAACAAAUUUAUUGAAUUUUUUUUCCAAAUUAAAUUCAACAAAAUCAAGAAACUACAGUAAAUUUAUUUUCUUUGCAUUUAUCUUCAAUAAAUUUAUUUCCCAAAAUGCUUGCAAUCUUUAAGUCAGACAGGACAGUUAUUCACUAAUCCAUGCUACUAAUAGAUUCUAUUGCAGUAAGGUACAAAAAAAUUUAGGGAAAACUUACCUUGUUAGGGCUUUAUUAUGGCCGGAUAAGGGCAGUGAUUAAAGAGUUUGAACCAACUGAAAAUCAAAACAGUUUAGCAACAGCAGACUUUGAAUGUAGCAGUUUCAAGCUAUGCUAGGGGAACGAGUGUUAGAAACAACUAUGUAACCAGUACAGGUAUGUUCAAUUUUUUCUAUGUUUUUUCCUUUUGCAAAUUGGAGGAUUCCCGGAGGUUCAUAUCCCUGUAUUAUGUAAGAAAUAUUAAGAGACAGAUCAACUUGAGUUGAAAGGCUACUUUAUGCUAUGAACACUAACUGAGAAUGUUGUAGCAAAUAAAGAGAAAAGGACAAGAAAGAGGGCAAUGAGCACAAAACACAUUUUACUAAGCAUACAUACCUAAAUAAAACAAAGCAAUCACAAUUAUUCAUAUGUUUAAAUAUGUUUUGUUUGAUUUAGUUAAUUUUCUUUAAAAUAUUAAUUAUAUCAUUAUAUUCGUAUUUAAAUGCAAUAUUCUUUUUGACAUCAACCUAAACCACAUCGAUUUUCCAUCUUAUUCUCUAAUUACUAUAGCUCAACAAUCUAGAGGAUUAUUGUGUACUGUUCAAGUGAAGACAGGUUUUCAGAAUAUAGAUAUCGAAAGAGUAUGUUGAGAAGGGCUACGCUAGAUGUAUCGCACUUCUUCUUCCUACUCCAAUUCCAAGAAUCACAAGGGUAGUAUUCCCUUUUAUGAUGUAAUGUCAAACUCACAUUACGCUUCCUAUUGAUGAAGCAUCAAACAUGAGCAUGACAAUCAUUAUUAAAGAAUUCGUGCAAUAGAGAUGCUACAUGUUUCUCAAUGUAUUGAUGCACUUAUGCUCAUGGUAAAGAUGGUAGUGAAUCAAGAAUUGUUGGCCAUGCAACAAUGGUGCAUUUAUGAUGGUAGUUGCUUUGUUUGCAUCACAAUUAGAUAAUUUAAUGGGGAAGAAGUGCCAGCUUUGCACCUAUGAUGCAGAAGCAUUCCAUAACUUUGGUUAAAAUAAGUUUGAAAUUUGGUUUUAGUUUUAAUAAUGUUACCAUAUACAGAUAAGAUUUAUCUUCACAUUUUUUAUCAUAAGUUGUGUGCCAAUCUUAGAAGUGUGUGACGGAAACCAUGCAAAUCAUAAACAAAGAGAAACCACCUUUCUUUGUGAUAAAUUCAAUACACUUUGGAAAUGGACUUUACAUACCUGUGCCUAGGUUAAAUAACCAACUAAACAAAAAUUUUAAAGGCAUGAACCUGAAACACUAAACCUAGUUCAUGUAGACACCCUUUAUAAGUGACAUCAUCAGGUCUAGGGUUCAAAUCUCGACAUUUGCAACUCCUCCCCUAUCUACGAUCUCCUUUGUACCAAAAAAUAAUUUUAUGGUCCGUCUUUUAUUUAAUUUUGAAUGAAAUGAAAGCAAAAAUUUUAUUUUUAUCUAUUAUUAUUGAAUGUUCAAUGCAAUGAAAGCAAAAAUAUUUCUGGAAUAAGUUACUUACCAGCGCCCUAAAUCACCUGCUAGCUAUUGCAGCAACAGAGAUAGAUACCGAGAAAUGACAGCUUUGAACAAAUCAUAUGACAACGACAGAGAGCACACUUGUAUACAUCCAUGCCCUUGCAUGAAUGGCAACAAGCGUGCUCUCUCUCAUUGUCAAUUGACAAUGCGUGUCAAUCUCAAAAUGAAAACUGCAAAACAAAACUCGGGAUAUAUUAGGAAAUGCUGCAGGGAGGUAUUAUUUACUUAUGCUCUAAAAUGAUGGCUUGCUUACUUACUUAGAAAUGCAUCUAAAACUCAUGAUUCUAACAAUCCCAAGAAAUAUAACAUAAAUGUCACAGUUAUGACAUCCAUGAACAUUUCUUAAAGUUGCCAAUAUCUUACAUUCCAUAAACAUCAUCAACAAUGACACUCCGAGCAACCAACAAGUGUUGAGAUCAAUGGCAAAGCACAAAGGAUUAGUCCCCAUGGACAGUAAAAUGGACAUUGAAGAUACCUUGGUUCCACCAAAAACCAAUAAAACUCCGAACAAAACAAUCUCCAAACCCUUAUAAAUAGUACCAAAGACACAAAGGAAUUAUCUAAAGUUUUGCAGGCAGAAAAAAAUAUUGCCUUCUAACAUGAAUGAAUUAAAGAUGGAAGUUCCUUUCAAAAGACAUUAAUCUGUACUUUGGUUAACUAAAAACAUAUAUAAAGAAUUAAAAGUUAAAACAUCAAGUAAACAGCCUAGAAUUUGUGACAAGUUACAUAGCAAACGACCAUAAAACAUAAUUUUGGGAAAGUGAAAAGAAGUUUAAUAUCAUAACACAAAGAAUGAUAAAAGAAUUUUCUUGGAAACUCUUAGUCCUUUACAAUCAUAUCUAUCUUUUUCAUUAGUAAUGCAGCUAGUUAUAAACUCACCCCAGAUUCUGGCGUCUUCCAAGACAAGCUUGAAAAGGGGGAACUUUUUCAUAUAUAUAAUCAUAUUAUAAAGGCUUGGAGUAAGCUAUAAACAAGUUUAAAGACUAAGAAGAAGUGUUUAAAAGACUUAUCAAACAUCCAAGAUUGCCAUUUUUUGAAUAUAAAAGAAAUAGGCAACAAAAAUAUUUUAUUGGAUUUCAAAACCACGGUAAAACAGCUGAAUUUGCUAAAUUAAGAAGCUUAAAGGAAAACAAACGAAAGGUAAACAAAUCAAGGGUUGCAUUAACUACUACUAUUGUUAAAACUCAAACAACAUGUAACAUAAACCAAAGUUUACUACUUUAUGUUUUUUUUCCAUAUUUCUUAACCAAGAUCCUAGCCCAAACUAAAACACUAUUAAAAUUUCUAAGCCAAAAAACAAAGUCUUGGUUUUAAUAGUUUAAAGCAAAAGGGCUUAAAAUAUGCUAAAACUUUUAAAGCAUGAACAAACCCUAGCCUUAAAAUUCACUGAAAAAUGAUAACAUAAAAGACUAAGUUCAAAAAAUAACAUUUAUGAAUAACAUCAUUGCUUGAACCUGAAAUCCUAGAUCCAGACCCAUAUCUUCUACCAGUAAAAAAGUUGUCUCUUUAAAAAGAAAAAUCAUACUAAAUUAGAAAACACACACAAAUGAAGCAGGAAGCAACUACUUGGCCACUUGCACUAGCUGCACAGUCAAAAACAACUUUUGGCGAAAUGAAGAGAGUGGAAAGUAUGGGAGAAUUUCUACAGAAAAUAAAGAAAAUCAAGUCAAAUAUUAAAGAACAAUUUAUAUAAUUCCAAAGGCAUAUUUUGAAACGAUAAUACGGAAGAUUAACCAAAUGAUCAGGGAUUUAAAUUGCGGUCGCGGUCGCGUUUUCGGUCGCGUCGCGUUUGUCGCGGUCGCGGACAUAACGGACGCUAUUGCGGUCACUGCGGGUAUCGCGGUCGUGAAUUUUACAUUACUUAUUGUGUAUUGCGGGUAUAGCGGGUUUCGGCAGUAACGAUUUCGGACGGUGCCGUUACCGCUAUAUAACGGCCUCUAUUUCGAUAACGGACCGCUAUUUAAAUCCCUGCAAAUGAUGAUUAAUAAAGAGGAUAAGAAGAGGCUUAGCGUAUAAAGGUACCGUUUCGAAAUCUGCCUCUUUGUCUGGUAAAAUCAAGAUUCGCAUUGAUUUGAUCCAACGGUGUUACUGUUUGACACGUUAAUGAAACAUAAAUACAAAAGUACGAAGCCAAAAUUAGAACCUUUACACAGUGCACUACCGUACCAGAUUCUUCCCCUCGGUGGCUUUUUACUCAAUUGACCCAAAAUAAUUAAUUAUUUAUGAAAAUGACACAAGUCAAAACUUAUGUACAAAAAUAAUCUUUCCCAAAAUAUCCGCUAGUGCCACCUAACACAUCAGUACUACCAAGUUUUAUUUUUUAAAAUACUCAUUAAAAAUACAGGGUAUUUAGGAAGGGAAAAAGAAUAAAAAAAAUGUUUUUUUAUGGAUGUUGGCAAUCUAUCAAGGGCAACAAAGAAAUUCUUUAAAAAAAAAUUUUGGGUGCUACUAGUAUGUCAAAUGAUAUCGGUAAAUAUUUUUAAAAAAUAUCUUUUGGUGCCUCUAGUAUGUCAAGCGACAUCGGUUAAAAUUUUUAAAAUAUAUAUUUUUUUAAGUGUCACCGUUAUGUCAGUCGACAUCAGUGAUAUUUAAAAAAAAUCAUUGUAAAAAGAGUAGUUCGAAGUUUUUAUCAUUGUUUUAGAAUAUUUAGGGUCGAAUACUAUGAGUUCUGAACCGUAAAAGUAAACGAAAAUGAGGAAAUCUCUUCUUUGGUGUCAAAACCGACACAAAAGGCCACUGUAAACGGCGACAUUGGUGGCUAUUGAAUACAGCGACUAUGAUUUUCAUUUGAGAAGAGGAAGGGAAAGAAAAUAAAUAAAUAAAUAAAAACAUCUGAGUACGAUAGCUAGGGUUUUCAAUUGAGAAGAAUAAAGGGAAUUUCAAAUAGAAAAAGAAAAGAGAGUAUAUGAAAAAUAGAGAAUCAAAUAUGAAGGAAAAAAAAAGAGAGUAACGUAUAUGUAAAAUAGAGAUAUGAAAGAAAUUUUAAUAUUUUAUGAAAAAUAAAAAAUCAAAUAAGGGAAAAAAAAGAAAAAAAAAUAUUAAAUUCUUUUUUAUAUCUCUAUUUUACAUGGUGGUUAUUAUUUUUCCUUUCUUUAUCUGACUUUUACUCUUUCAUCUCUCUCGUCCCUCUAUCUUUCAUCCAUUUAUAGUGAUAUUGAUAAAACAAGAACAACAUAUGAAGUAAGUAUCAGUCACGAGCUUCCUCUUUUAUUUAGUUUUCAUUUUUUUUCUAUUUUAUCCAUUAGGGCAUUGUAGAAAACAAAUAUUUUCCUACAUAAAUUUUGAUUUAAAUUAUUAUAAUUAAUUAAAUAUUUUGGACCAAUUGGAUAAAAAAAACCCAUGGAUUUAAUGGAAGUGAGCGUGGGGCUGAGAAGAUGUCAUUUCCUAGGGUUAAGGGCCAAAUUCUUUUGUUUCGCAGGGAAAUUUACAAAUACCUUCUUUUUUAAAUAAAAAAACAAUUAAAAAUAAUUUAUACAUAAGCCUAAUUUAUUAACAAACACAAAAGAAAUUUAAAUACUCAUAAAUGUUGAUUUUUUUUAAAAAUUACAUAAACAGGACAAAAUUUAAAAAAAUUACAAGAAUAAGACAAUUUUUAAAAAAUGUAUCCAAUUGGAAGCAUUUUCAAUUUAAAUAUAGAAAAACACUUCAACUAAAGCUAAAAGUACUUUUUGUCACAUCAGUAUUAAAAGUGACAAAAACAAUAUUUUUUCUUAUUUCCUAAUGCCAUCUAUUAAUUUGAAAAUAAAACUUAAAAACAGGUCUUUAUAUAGAUUCAAAGUUUCAUUUAUCUUGUUUUUUUAAACAAUGUGAGAUUUGGGAUAUAGAUAUAUAUAGGCUUAUAAUUCAUUUGCAAUUAUUCCUACACAAUGUGAGAUUGUUAACUCUUUUAACUAACAAUAAAAGAUUAAAUGUUACUAUCGAAACCAUUUUCAGUUUGAAAAAUAGGGAUCAACUUUAAAGUGAAACAUGGAGUCGCCACCAAUCCUUUUUGUUUAGGUGUGAUCGAAUCACCUGUGAAACAUUUUAUUUUAUUAAAAUACCGAUUUUGGCCUACGAUAUUCAAGGAAACGGGUUCGAGAGUCGGUUAUGUGUUAGGGAGUAUUAGCACCCUCGCAGCACAAAAAAUUGGUACCUUAUUGAUUAAUCAAUGCCCUAAUGUCGAAAAUUUGAAAAGAUUUUAAAAAUACAAUCCCUUUAAAAAUGUUUGGAUAACUCGAAGUGGAUAUUGAUGUUCUCCUAUUUCAAAGAAAUAAAAUAUCAUAUCCAGCACGUUAAGAUACAAUAUUUUAAAUCCUUGAAACCAAGAUCAUCUCAUGAUAUCCAAAACUCAUGUUUUUUUUUUUAAAUUCAAAAGAAUAUUUGGUCAUUUGGUCAAACGAAAAAUUAAAACCAACUCGUUAAGGCACGCUUUCCCUAAAUUUCAAGCACAAAAUAUUACUUUAUUCAAAAACUUUUGAAUAAAACGUAGCAAUGUUUUUAUUUAAAAUGAUGGUUUGUGUGUAACAUGCUAUGCUAAUAGAAGACGAGAAAAUGUACAUGUUUAAAAUGCAUCACAAUAAUUAUAUAAAGGACCAACCCUAAGGCUAAUAUAGAUAAUUAAAAGAAAAGAUGAUAAUAUAACAAAAUUGAUAAUACAAAUAACACAAUGAUAAUAAUAAUAAUAGUCAACAAAGGUAAGAGUGAUAGCACUGAUGAAAUCUAUUUGAAAUGAUGCAUAAAUAAAUAAAAGGUUACAGUAAGAAAAAACAUAAAAAGAAAAGAAAAGAGAAAAUAAAAUAAAGGAAUAUAUACAACAAAUAAUAUAUGAAAAUUUCCAAAUAAAUAAUAAAACAAUUUAAAAACAUAUGACAAUUGUCAAAAUGAACGAUGUACUCACAUAUAUAAUAGUAAAAACAACAUAUAUCUAAGAUAAAUAAUAAAUGAAAAACCCUAUUUAAAUAAAAAUAAUGAAUACAACAUUUUAAAAUAUUGUAAAAAAAAAAGAUUAAAUCCUAGUAAUAUAUAAAACACAUAUAAUAAAAUCACUUCAAAUAAAAACAAAAUAAUUCAAAAUAACACUACAUAAAAUAUUAAAAUAAAUAAGUAAUAAAUUAAGAACAGGGAUAAAAUCCCAAUAAACAGGACCAAAUCAAAAUAACAACAAAUUUUGAGGUAAAAAAAAAGGCACAUUAGGACCAAAUCAAAAUGCGCGCCACAAUUGAGGGAUCAAUUGGGAAAUUAUGCCCUAUUACCAAAAUGACGCCGUUCCAAUAUUCGCAUUUAAAGGGCCCGGGGACCAGAUCACAACAAAAACCAAAUUUCAGGGCCAAAUUUAAGAAACAAAACAGAUGAACAGGGUCAAAUCAAAAUAGAGCAGAAAUGCGGGAGGGCCUAUUGUGCCCUUUUUGACAAAACAAGCAGGUUCUCGUGGAUACGGAUCGGAUCGUAGGUUGGAGGGCCAUGAGGUAAAACGGCGCCGUAUGGAACACUUGGGGGGAGUGCAAAACGCACUAUUUUACCCUAUUAUAAAACUUAAAAUUUUUUAUUUUUUUUCAUUUCUUUCUUUGUCUCAAAAAAAAAAAACAAAUGGCUCUCCCUUUCUUUUUCAAACCAACUCAUAGGUCAGUCACCGACCACCGUGCGUGAUGGUUAGAGUUCCAAAAAAACCUCAUUUUCUCCUUGUUAAACUAGGAAAUAGAUUUAGGACCUACAAAUCCCGAAACCCUUGAAAACAACAAGAUUUCCGACUAUUGGCCUCUUGUGCCGUGGCUUCAACCAGAUCCCAAGGGAUCUGUUAGCCCCUGGACCGGAGAAACGAGCGCUGACGAUUUCAACGCCAAACAGUGGGUAAAAAUUUCCAUUCUUACGUAUUCACGUGGUAAAUUUAAAAUAAAAUAAAAAAGAAAAAAUAACAAAGCCGAAAAUGAACAAAUGGAUCACCUUUAAAAUGUAUUCGAUUUCUCUGUAUAAAUUGCUAUGUAUGCGUAUUCGUAUCCUUCUGCCAAAAAAAGAUCCUUUUCAAUACAUUCGGUUUAGGCUUUUAUAGCCGAAAAGAAAAACAAAAAACAACUUGCUCCUAUUUCGUUGCACUUGUUGUUGUUGCUUUCCAUUUUUUCUGCAGGUAUGGAGGCGCGAGUAGAGCAGCUACGUGGAGUGAGGCGUGUGAAGGUUGUUCGGUAGUUGAGGGUUACGGCGCAAGGGAACCCUAGGGUUCCUGAGAGAGUUUUGAUUUUGGGCCAUUUGGGCCAGGUUUGUCUUAUCUAGGUAUUGGGCCCUGUUGUAAAUGGGUAUUCGGGUUUGGGCCUAUUGUAAUUGGGUGUGGUAUUUGGGUUUUGAUUGGCUGUAAAUGGACUUUAUAUUUUGGACUGUUGUUUAUUGGGCCCCGGGUUAAAUUGGGCCCUACAGUUACACUAUAUUUUAUAUUUUUUUAUCAUGAAAAUUUUAUACAUUCGUACCGAA